rnacentral:lncRNA from 1 species
GAGAGAGAGAGAGAGAGAGAGAGAGAAUAACAAAUGCACAAAUAUAAAUGCAAAUGCAGAUAUUUGAAAAACUUAAAACUUUGAAUUUAUAAGUGUUGUUACUAAGACAAUGGGUUAUCAUAUUAUUUUUAGGAUUUUUUUUGUUUUAUAAGUAUGGCAGUUUAUUAUUUUUUUUUUCAACAUAAUAUACAUCUAAAAAUCAAAAGCUAAACAAGUAUGCAAAAUUAUAUCAUACAGGUUUGCAAAUUAAAUCCCAACUGGAAAACAACAACCCAUGCCUAAUGGACCAUUAUCCGUGAUUCAUCCUUGUUGUAUAAAAUAUAUAGAAUAUAAAUGAAAAUUCAUGGUUAAUACAUACAACCAUCAAACUUGCAUCAAGAGUGGGCUGAUAUAUGCACUCCCCCCCCCCUUCUUCUUUUUUUGCUUUCAUCCCAUUCCUAACACCACCUCCACUACACUAAAUACAAUGAGCAUGGAUUGAUGAGGAAACACCAAUGAUUUUGAUGCACAGAAGUAGAGAGCAGCACUUCUACACAAACAGUAAAGAAUUGCAGAAAGACAUGGUGAGUAGCUUCUUGUGUCCUAUCUAUCCACCAGCUUUGCUAAUGCCCCCCCCCCACCCCCACUCAGAACCCUAUUCUACAGACUUGGAACAGGACAUGUGAAGAAAGUAUGCCUAUUUGUCUAUGUGUCACCUGCAACGUACAUCAAAGCUCCACCAUAUUUACUGAUCAAACUACAUCAAUAUCCAUAAUUAGUGUGUAUUGCACUAGUCGGAUAUUGGUGUUGAUAUUGAUAUGCAGAAUGCAGCCUGAGGAAGAUCCAACAAUUGGGUUUCUAUGGAACAAAACAUCUGAGGGAGUGACACAAUGCAGGGAUUCUUUUGAUUCCAUGCUUUGCAAAAUAGAGUGAUAAACACUAAUUAUGGAUAUUGGUGUAGCUAUACAUGCAUAUAUAUAUAUAUAUAUAUAUAAUCCAAAGGAAAGGAGGUAGGAGGUGUGACUAGUCAGUGUGGAAUAGUGUCCAAUCCAGAGUUCAAAGGUUUGCUUGAAGAUAUGCAAGGGUUGAGCCAAGGAUCAAGGAAGUUUUGUUUUUGUUUUUAUUGUUUUUUUGUUAUAUUUUUUACCCUUAUUGUGUGUUGAAGUUCAGGGUGGAGCUUUGAAGUGCUUGGGGACCUGCACCACCACCAGUUUGUUGCUUCUCCAAAAGUCACACCCCAUGCUUCUCAUGCCCCAGCUUCAAAGCCCCCUUACAGGCACUUCAAAUCAAACAGAAUUAGGGUCUCUAUGAACCAAACCCCAGGUGGUGAAAAAUGUGGACGAACCUCAUCUAUUAGAUGCGACAACCCUGCUGACAGCUCACAACCCCCUCUGCAGACAUCACCUCAACAAACACAUUGGUUUAAUUUUCUUUGUUUUCUUGUGUGUAAAAGCUUUCACGUAAUUAUUAAUAUAAACUCUCCACACAAGUAUUUGAAAAAAUAUAAAUAUGCAAAUAAAUAAAAUAAUACUAUUAAAUAAUGAAUAAAAACUUGUGAGAGACAAACAGUGAGGGAAUCAAUGAAGGAUACCAACAAGCCCAUAUGUCAGCCAAAUAAGUUUACUUCCAUUUUAUCAAUCAUAAUGUUAAGUUCCAUUCAUGCAUGAUUUAUUUAUUUAUUUUUGAGAAAUAGAGUAUUGAUUGAUACUCAAGGGGUGCGAGCACUUAAUGAGAGAUGUUGUUAAGCACAUUAAUUCACACAGAAUGUUUUUUGUGCUUGACAAUACAAAAGUUUACAUUAAUAUGAAUGAAUGUAUGUGUGUGUGUGUGAAUAUGGAUAGAAUGAGUUUAUUGAUAAUGUGGGUUAGAAGGACAAGUACACUAAUUGGCUGAUUAUGCUCUUUGUUCCCCCAUCGCUCCCCAUAUGUUCCCCUUGCACAAGGGCCCCAUUAAAAAUAAGAAGGCAAAGGCCACAUGGGGGGAUCUCUAAUGAAUGAAGGAGGAGAACCACUUGAAGCCAAACUCAAAAGCAUUGUUCAUUAGUUGGCCCAAACUAGUAAAGAGCUGUGUCCCCCAUGCUUUGCACUCCUGUUCCCCAUUGUACAAUGAUCCCCCCCCCCCUCCUAGGGUCUUCAAUGCCCCCCCUUCUCCACCUUCAUAAUUGGCCCAGAUAUGGUUGUACAACGUUCCUUUUGACUUCCAUUUUUUCUUACACACAUUCAGUCAUAACAGGGCCAGAUAUUACCAAAUCAUAUGUCCAAGUUUUUCAUUGCAAUUAUACAUGUUUAUAUAUAUAUAUAUAUAUAUAUAUAUUCAAAAAAUAAUUAAAGCAUGGGUGAAGAUAUAUGCCAACUUUGAGAUUGUGGAUGAUGCAAGAGUGUGAAGAGUUUUUAUUUGAUUUUUUAGAUUUUUUAAGAUUUUUUUCCCUUGAAAUAUACAUAUUUUUUUUUCAAUAACAUGAAUGGCCCUCUUGAUUUAGUUAUUGAAGGCCUGUGUUAUUUGGCUAUUAUGUUGGUAUUGCAAUUGCUUGGGUUGAAAAUGUGGAGGAGAGGUGAAUUAAACAGUUGAUGUUUUUCCACAUCUCUACUGUACAAAAAGGAAACCUUGUCACAAUUGUACAUUGUGAAGUCAUGAAAGUAAACAAAGCACAAAUCAUUUUGACUGUGGUGCAUCAUGUCAGUUGUGAUUGUUCCUCAUAUUUAUUUCAUUGUUUCAUGAAACAUGUCAAAGUUUCUUAUUGUUGUAAUAUUCUAUUUUAAAGUUAAUUGAACUUUUAAAGUAAAAAGUGAAAAAAUACAUGUCGAUUGAAAACUGAAAUGAUUCAAGAGAAUUUGUAAUGGAAAUAUUAAAAACAUCCAUGUUGUCAUACAUACAAAACCCACUAAUUAAUGUGUGUAUGUGUGUGCAUGUGUGUGUAUACACACUUACCCUUGUUGGUAUGUAGUAUUUAACCAAAAAUAAAAUUGUGCACCAUUUAAAAGACAUUGACCUUCUCACUAAGCCUCAAUAAUUACAAUGCUACUAAAACAUUUGGGUACUCUGUUUUCUCUACCAAUGAAAAUCGUGAAAAUAUAUUAAAAUGACAAUUCCAAUAAUAUUUCUUCUAGUUGAUGAAUGAGCCAAAGGGCAUGUGACAAAUUGAAGGCCAUGACAGCAAAGAGUUGGACAGCCAAAGAGGGUCACAAGCUAACUCACCUUCAUCAGCAAACUCAUUCCCACCUCCAAACAAAACAACAAAUAAAUGGCAAAAAACAUAACAGUAGAAAAAAGAAGAAGAAAAUAAUAGAAUAGCAUAGCAUAGAAUAGAAUAGAAUAGAAGUGGGAGGUGGGUAAGUUGAAGGCAUCAGUCCUCAGGUCCUGAAGGGAGGGGAGGGAGGAGAAUAUUCCACGGACAUGAGUCAAAAGGAUGGAAUAUUCCAUCCCUUGUAGUAGUAAUAGUAGUAGUAUUAAUAUUGAUGGGGUGAAGAAAAAAUGGAAGAGAGGGGCUCAAUAGAGUCCACCUGCAUUGAAUUUCCACCCCUAAAACCCAAGCCUUUAGAUAUGCAGAUACAAGAGGGCCAGAGAGCAUGUAAGAGAGGGAGGUGUUGCACAAGAGGAAUAGAUUUGGGAAUUCCUUUUCGAACAAUGUGUGUGGGAUUUUUUUUUUUGCUAUGGAUUAUACUUCUACUAGCAAUCUAUUUUGACACGACAUUGUUGUUGUUGUUGUAUUAUUAACAUUGGAAGAUUGAAAGUAGGUGUUAGGGCUGCAGCAAAGUGGAGAGCAGUCCUUGGAGAACAAAUGACCCUUGAGACUGUAUCAUGUGUCAUCUCCUCAGAGUACAAUGUGAAAGUUCUUGUUCACAUACUGCCUUGAAUCUUCUUCUUAUGAAUAUACAUCUAAUAUUCUUAUGAUUACAUAAAUCAUACAGUAUACUUCUAAAAAAUAUUAAAAUUUAUCAAAUAAAUUAAUAAUAUAUUAUUAUAUCCUCGAUCUUAAAAAUUAAUAAGAGAUAACAUAAUUAUACAAAAAAACGAAAGUCAUAAAAUAUUACAGUACAUUCAGUAAAAAUAUAGUUUUUUAAAAAUUGGUGCAGUAAUGUGCACUAUAAUUUGAUUUGUUAUGAUUAUAUAUAUAUAUAUAUAUAUAUAUAUAUAUGCUAAAUUUUCUUAAUGUAAAGAUUUUUUUUGUGCCACUCUAUAUAAAUCACUUUUCUUGUCCCUUUUAUACAUAUAUAUAUAUAUAUAUAUAUUCAAUAUUCAAUCACCACAGACAAUAUCUUGUUUAAUGGAUUUUCUUAAAAUAAUAAUAUUUUAAAUCUUGAAGACUAAAUCUUAUAAAUCAUCUUCACAAUCUUAUUAAGAUUGAUAUACUUGAUAUUUUAUAUUCCAACUAAUAUUUUAUACAAGUUAUUAUAAUUUAGCAUCACAUAUUUCUUAUUAUCAUUUCUAUAGUUUUAUUUAUUUAUUUUUAUUUUAAAAUAUAAAUAUUAUAAAAUCAUCCAAAAAUUUUAUUAUUUUCGUUUUUCCAUAUUUAAUUAAGAAUUCUUAAAGAAGGAUUUUAAAAUAAUUAUUUUUAAAAAUACUACAAAUUAAGUUAGAAAACUACAAGUUGAAUGAUGAUUGCUAUGUUUACUUGGAUGCAUUCAUUGAAAUACUUCAAAGACUCAAAUACAUAAGUAAUUUUUCUUGUAGGAAAAAAAUUAAACUUUAAUAAUUUGUUUAUAAAAAAUUUAUGAUUAUAUAAUAAAAUAAAAUAUAUUUAGUUAAUAUAUAAAUAUUCCCAUAAAAUAUUUUUAUGGUUAAUACAUAAUAAGUUACUAAGAAAAUUGAUGAAUAUAAUUUGAAACAAGUAGAACUUUUAUAGCAAAACUAAUGAUAUUUAAAUUAUAUAUAUAAAAAAAUGACUAUAAUAUAAAUCAUCAGUGUAUAUCUUCUAUUUAUAUAUAUAAGAUUUUCAAAGUAAGAUCUCAUCUUAUUCUACAUAUGUUCUCCAUAAAUUUUUAUAUAUUUUUGUUCAUUAUAUAUAUACUGAAUUUAUCUAGCAUAAUAAUCUUAUAAUAUAUUACUAAAAAAAUUAUUAAGCCAAGGUAUUUAUUCUCAAUUGUUGUCAAUCUUAAUCAAUUCUAUUUUAUUUCAGUAACAUAAUUCAAAUAUUUUAGUAGCUUAUUUUAUUAUAUUUCAUUAUUACAAUAUAUAUAGUAUUUAAAAAAAAAAACAAUGCUCUUAAAACGAAUAACCUCUAGUAAUUAAUCAAAAUAUUGAUAAACAAGUUUGUUCUAUGGUGCAUAACUAGUACUCCUUAAUGUCAAUGAUUAAAUCAUUUUUAUUAGAUUUCAUUAAUUAAAAUAGCAACAGCAACAUGUUUAGAUUGUAGAGCCUAGCAAGAAUAAUUCCUAUCAUUUUUUUACUGUGCUCUCUAUAUUGACUAAUAAUCUAUGAUAAUUAAUAAUUUUAAUUACAAAAAAUAACUUUAAGUAGAAGAAAUAAAAAAUAUAUAUACAUAAAUCAUUAUGCCUCUAUUGUAUAAAAUAUCAAACGAUGUGUUGAAGAAUGGACAUUAGGUUUUGUGCGUAUUAUUCUUAAUUAUGAUUUUGAUAGUAUAAAAUUAAAUUAGACUAUAUAUUUAUAAUUAUAUACAAAAUUUUAUGACAUGUCAAAUUUUAAAAGCUUGUGUUAAAAAAAUUGGGAUAUUAUAUAAUUCUUAUUGCUAUCUAAUCACUCAUAAGUGUAUCUAAACACAAAGUCAUAAGAAUUUAAAUUUAUGUUUGAUGAGUAUAAAUGGUCAAUUGUGGUCAAAAUAUUGUGUUAAUGAUUUUAAAGAGCUUAUAAAAAUAAAAACUUGGUUUAUGAAGAAUUUAAGCAGUAUUACAACUUAGAUGCUAACAUUACAUGAUUUUUUUAGAAAUAUUAGCUAAGGUUCUAAGUAUACCAAGUUGGAAAAAUGAAAUAUGUUUAUAUUUUGUAUCUCAUUAUAAAAAUUAUUUAUGAUAAAAUACUAGAGUAAAAAACUAAUAUAUAAGGCUAAAAUAAUAUAAUCUCUCUCUCUCUCUCUCUCUCUCUCUCUCUAUAUAUAUAUAUAUAUAUAUAUAUAGAAGUAUUUCAUACAUUAAAAUUAAAAUAUCAGAGUGAUGAAUAGAAAAUCUUCAUUCUAUGUUAUGUUUAGAAUUUGUAUGUGCAUCACAAAUAUUUGAAUAAUUAAUCAAAUUAAGAAUAUUUUUUAAUUUAAUAUAUUUAAGGGUAUUCUGUUAUUAGGAUUUAAAUUAAAAAAAUAAAAUGUCAUACCUACACAAGAUUAUGUGAAUUGUUUUAUGAAUAUAUUGGUUUAGAGAUUCUAUGAUAUUUAUAAUUUUCUACAAGGAUUAUAAAUAAUAAAUAUUUAUCAAUAUACAAUCAUAUUCUUAUUUUACUUAAGACAUGAUAUUCUACAUAAUUAAUUGAUAGACAUUAAUGUAUAGUUUAACAAGUAUAUAAAUACUUCAAGCAAGUUUUUUACAAAGACAUUAAUUUAUAUAUUUCAGCAAGAAGAACACUACUUAUGUCUACAUUAUAUGAUAUUUUAUUAAUAUUUUAGACAUUACAUGAAAAAUAAAUAGUUUUAAAAUUUAAAAGUAAAAAAACAUACCUUAGUUUAUAUUAUCUUAUAAUAUAUUGUCAAAUAAAAUAUAUACUUAUUUAGUUCUAAAAAUAAAACAUCUUGAAUUAUCAUGUUACCAUACUUAAAUGUCAAAAAAUUCAAACAUGUUUAUAAAACAUAAGUUUAUAAAACAUGUUUAAAAAAUUCAAACAUGUUUAUAAAAGUAUUAUUGAAUAUAAAAAAAUUAUAAAAAGAAUCCUUUAAAUUUUAAAAAAAUAUUUUUAUUUGAUUUUUAAAAAACUAAAAAAUCAUUAAAUAUUAGAUAUGAAUAUCUUAUGUUCCAAAUUCUUUUAUAUAUAUAUAUAUAUAUAUAUAUAAUAUUUUUAUUAAAGUAUUUAAAUUUAAUUGGAUUAGAUCAAAAUUUCAACUCUUGUUUUAUAAUUAGAAUGUAAAUCAAUUAUUUGAUUGAAGAAGUUAGAAGAAAUAGGAUGAAUAUGAGACAUUUUUAAUUCCUUUAAAUUAUUAUCAAUUAAAAAUAAUAAAUUAAUUAAAUAAUUCAAUUUGGUUUAUAAAAUAAAGUUAGUAAUGAAAAUUUAUAAUAGAUAUUUAUAUAUAAUAGAUAUUUAUAUAUAAUAGAUAUUUAUAUAUAUAUAUAUAUAUAUAUAUAUAUAUAUAUAAUAUACAUAUGAAUAUGAAUUUUGUAAAUAAAUAUUUUGUAAAUUUGUAAUUGGAAUUAGAUUAUUCUUUAUUAGUUAUAAAUAGAAACAUUUAUUAUUUAUUUUAACAUAUUUAAAUAAUAUAUAUUUUUUGUAAUAUAUAUAUAUAUAUAUAUAUAUAUUAGUUCAUGUAGAUCAUUAUAUAUAUCUUGAAAAUAAUUUUCAUUAAUGUUUUUCAUAAAAAGGAAUCAUUGUUAAAUUAUUUUUGUACUUAUUGUGAAUAGAAUUUAUUAGUCAAUUAUGAUUUAUUUUAAUUAUUAUAACUAUUAUUUGAAGAGAUCUUAAUGUUUUUGAAUGUCAUUUCAAAGUUACUAAGGUUACCAAGAAACACUGCAGUAUUACAAGUUCAUUAAAAUAUAUUAUUGUUUUAGAAGAAAUAUUACUGAGGUUAGUUAGGGCUAUAAUGAGAUGUUGAUAAUGCUUGUCUAAGAUAAUCAUUUAAUUAUAUAUAAAUUUAAUAAAUUUAGCUGAGAAAAUAAAUUUCAUUUUAUUAAUAUAUAUUAGUUUUAAGUUUUUUUUUUUUGAAAAUUGAAUAUUAAUUAGUAUUCAAAUCGUAUAAUGCAGUGGGAUUGGUUAUAAAGUUAUUUUAUUUAUUUUAACAUUAUCUCAAUAUUUAUUUUAUAAUAUUAUUUUAAUUUAUUUUAAUUAUUCUGAAUUUAUUGUUUCUAAAAAUGUUCAUGUGAUUUUUUAUUUUUUAUUUUUUAUUUUUUUUAUUGUCUUUAAUGUUACUUGUUGAUAGAUUAUGAUUUUUUUUUAUUUAAAUGUAAGUUAUUACAUUAUUCUUUUUUUAUAAGUAAUACAAAUGUUUAUUUUUGAAUCUUGCACCAAGUGUCUAAUGUUGAUUUCAAUAAUUUAACAUGUAACCAUUUAAAGAGUUUUAUGUUUAAUCAUAUAUAUAUAUAUAUAUAUAUAGUUAUAUAGUUAUAUGUUUGUAUUUUUUUAUUGAUAUAUAUCUGUAUUACUCAGCUUGCAAAUUUGCAAGAAACAUGUCCUCAAUUUGCACACUGACCUUUUUACUUCAUCCGCUCUUUACCCAUGUGUUUCAACAAAUAUAGAUGUUAGGUAGCGAUCUUAGAUUUUUGUAGACAGCUCAAUGAUAUCAAUCAAUUUUUUGGCAUUUCUAAUAUUCUGGCAAUCGGAUUUAGAAUUUCAAUAUGUAUAUACAUAUAAAUAUAUAACAUAAAAUUAAAAUUUGGAAAUCAGAUAAUAUCAAAGAUGUAGGACAUACUAAAAUAUUUUGGUUUAGAAAGCUUUUUGGAUAUAUUAUUCAUCUAAUACUAAGCAACAACUAUGUACCUAUCCUUCUACAGCGAUUCAAGUUGUAUUAGCUACGGUUCUAAUCACUUAUAUAUAUAUAUAUAUAUAUAGUAUUUAAGCCUAUUUAUUAUGAAUUUAUUUAAAUUAAGAGCACAUUAAUUAUUAUUUUAAAAUGCGUUUUUUUUACUAUUUUUAUAUAUCAACAGGUAUUGUAAUAUAUCUAGUAACAUUAUAUCAAAUUAGUUCUUACAAAUUCAUAGUUAAUCAUAUAAAAAUCUUUGAUGUAAGCUGUUUUUAUUUGCACAAGAAUACAAAUGCCAAUUUCUUCCUAGUUAUCUGUUGUAAUAUAUAUAUGCAUAGUUUUAAUAAUUAUUUUUCUUUCUUCUAAUUUCAAAUAUUAAUCUAAAAUAUCUUAACUUAACAUAAGAGAUAAACGAUUAGACAAAAAGACAGUUUUUUAUAUAAUGUAACAAAUCUAAGUUUAUGAAAUGCAAAAGAUCAGAUAUGUAUAUUAUUUAUAAUUCAGUGAAAACAAAUCACUCAUAGGUUUAAAGAUUAGAAGAUAAUAAGAAUGAUUAUAGUGUAAAUACUAGAAAAUCAUAAUAAUAAUUUUUAUUACGUAAAGACAUUAAAUAUUUAAUCUAAAAUUUUAAAAUAACUUUGAUUAUUUUCUUUAAUUAAAAGGAAAAUUUUAUUUUCAUACCAGUCCUUGUAGUCUGAUAUUUUAAAAUUAUAAGAGCUUUGGAAUCCUUGAUUUGAAACAAAAAGAAAAAUUAAGGACAAAUGAUGCAAUUUGAAUGAAGGAGUAAAAUUCGUUGGGAUUUGUGCCAAAAAGAUAUGAAGUUUUACCAAUAGAUUUAUAAGAUAAGGUAGGGUCUAUACGAUUUAAGCUAUUAGAAGAUGUUAUGGCAAUAGAUAGAUAAGUGUUUAUAUAUAUGUAGGUAUAUAUAUUUACUUAUAAGACUUUAAUACAUUUAAACAAUAAUAGUCCUUAAAGACUCUAAUUCUUUAUUUUGAUUUUGUAGAAAUAUUUAGAUUUUUAAUGAAUUGAUUUAUUAAUUAUUUAUCUAUUUCAUUAAUAUUGUAUUUAAUUUGAACAAAAUAAUACUUGAUUAUAAAAUAAUCAUAAUUUUUUCCAUUCAAAGAUUUUUUUUUAUCAAUUUAGUCUUUUGAGCUUCAAAAACUAAUUGUAUUUCAAUCUUUGAUACUUCCAAAACUUUCAAAAACAAUUCUUUAAAAGUAAUGCAGAAUGAUUAAUUUGAUUUUAGAAAUAAAAAUAAAAUAUUGAAGAAUGUCUUUAUUUAAAAUUAUCACUUUUCAAAAUUUAAAAUUAUUUUUUAUGGUUUUUCGUUUAUGAAAAUAACAUAAAAAGAAUAUCUUAUUUAUAUAUGGACAUUAUGCUUUUCUGAUUUUUUUAAGCUUUUAAUGUAUUGUUAUAUCUUUGAAAUAUUAAAAUAUUUUGUGAAUGAAAAAUUGCAAUGCAUUUUGAUGUCUUGUCUUGUUGAAAAUGUUAAAUGUAUUACAAUAAGAACAAUUAUAUUUUGUAAAAUAUUAAAAAAUAUAGAUAAAGCUAAAUUAGUUAUAAUGAUUUAUAUACUUAAUAAUAAUUGAGCAUACAUGCAAAGUGAUUUUUAUUGUGAUAAAUGAAAUCUGCAUUAAUUUUCUAUGCAUUUGUAGGUGAAAACUAGCACUUUUUGCAAUUAAAAUAUAAUAAAUGAAUAGAAUUAAAAUCAUGUACUUUUACUGAUUUGUUUCCACAUGGACAAGUCUAUGAUUGAUUGGUGAUUUUGUAAAAGAAUUAGUUAGUGUAAUAAAUUGGUAGAACAUUGUAGGAUGAAAAAAUAAUUCUAAGCCAUUGAAGUUGGGGUUUGAUUAAAUGUAGUUGUAAUCUCUCUUAAAAUUACAUGUACACACAAGUGGGUGCAAAUUUUACAAAAAGAACAAAUCAGCUAUUAAAAAAAUGUAUAUACAUGUAUAUAUAUAUAUAUAUAUAUAUGAUCUUUUUUUAUUGUUUAGUUAAUGGUCACUAUGCUUGGUGUGUGGAUGUAGAGAAUUCUAUUGGAGUAAUUGGAAGUAGUAGAAGCUCUUACAUUAAUAUUUAAUGAAUUGUCCAUGAAUGGGUGUAUUAUGGCUACUAGCAAGUAAAUGAUUGGCUGUAAAUGUAUGUCCUUUAUGAUUUGUUCAAGUAAGUAUUAUGAUAAACUUUUUCAUGUGAGGAAAUGAUUACCUCUGAAACUAGAAGAUAGGCGCUGGUUGUGUGCUAUGAAUAGGAUUUGGUGUGUUAUUUGUGUGAACUUGAUUCAUCCUAAUUGGUCAAAUAGCUUAUAUAUAUCUUUAUAUAUAAAUAUAUAUAUAUAUAUUAACGAUUAUAAAUUAUUUAUUUCACUUAUUAUUAUUAUUAUUAAUGUAAUAUGGUGUUUGAAAAAUUUGUUGUUGUUUCAAUUCAUAAAUAAUGAUGGUUAAGUUUAGAAACUUUCUCAAGUUAUAUUCUUGUGUUACUUUUUCUUUUUCUUCUCUUCAAUAUUUGAUUGUUUGUAUUUUGAUUUUUUUUGUGUACAUACACUACAUAAUAAAACACUGCCUAGUGUUACCAUGUGACAUAUAUUAAGAUGUUUGAUUUGUUUAAUUUCAACCAUAUUAUUCAUAUGAACAUUUAAGUAUUGAUUUAUUCAUAAGAUUGUAUUGGUUGCUUUGGAUUUGAUAAUUGAAUUGAGUAAAAUAUUAUAUUUACCAAAUCAUCCCUUAUUAAAUUACAACUUCUACAAAGUUAUGGGGAAAAUGGUGGAACCAAGAUGGUUUCAUGGUGCUAAACUAUUACUUGCUAAAUUAUAACUUCUCAUAAGUUUUAUUCUAGAAUAUACAAACCGACCCCAUAAUUUAUUAGAAAUAAUGCAAAAUUAAAGGAGUAGAAAACAAGCACAAAUCUUUAUUUACUAAAAUAAAAAUUACUAUACAAACUGAAUUUAUUGCAAACGAAGAGUGGUAUGGUAUUGUGAAGCUACAAGAGUGCUUUAAUGGAAUAUAAUGAGGUGGUGAAGCCAUGCUCAAGCGUGGCUGAGGAGGAGGAGGAGGCCGCCAGGGUAAAGCCGCGGCAGCGGCACGUUGGAGGGGGAUAGGCGGCAUGGCCAUUCAAUGACGUAGCGUCUGCCCGCGGCACCGCCGUGACAACGUGCUCCUGCCGCGCUCUCUCUCCCCCUCCAAACCACCCACCCAACCCAACGUUGAUGAGCCCGCCUCUCAGGUCCAUGUCGACAGAGAUAGAGAGAGAGCGCGGGUGGGGAUCCAUCCAGGCUGGGCGGGCGCAAUCACGCAGGAUACAGCAAAUCACGGGUGGGAAUCCCCCCACCCCCUCUCUCUGUCUCCCCCCCUCCCAGGAGCUUUCUUCCUUUGCCCUUUUUCUCCUCUCCUCCGGCUCUUGCCACUCUGUCUCUCCGUCGGGCGGGCGCGCUGCACAAUCUCUAUUUGUCGUCACAUCACAACCAUGGCAAAUGAGAGAGAGCGAGAGUGAGUGAAGGGGAGAGAGGGAUACAGAGAGAGGCGGGGGAGGGAGAGGGAGAGGGAGAGGGGGAUAGAGACGGAUAGAGAGAGAGAGCGGGAGACGGAGGGAGGGAGAGGCGGGAGGAUGGUUUAUUGAGACAAUCGCUGUGGGAUGAUGGCCUGGGUGGCCAACCCUGUGCGUCCCAUUCAGUUUCCUUUUCCCCUUUCUCCCCCCUCUCUCCCUUCCCUUCCCUUGGUGUUGGCCUUGUGGCCGGUGGGACUGGCGGGGCAGAAGUACUAUAAAUACCUAUUUUGCCACCAUCUUCUCACAUUCACUGGGUACUUGUGCCCUCCUAGAGAACUGCCCCCCCCCCCCAAAUUUCUGUAGCAUACUGCCUUUCCCCUCGCCUUUGCCUCUAACUCUGCACACGCAGGAACCAGCUCCUCGCAGGUUUCGCAACCCCAGACUGAGGUCGUGGUGCUGGUGUUGCAUGGCUUACGCCUCCCAAUUUUACGGGAUGGAGUGGUUCCCUGGCGUGUGCUCACGUGAGGUGACAACCGCCGAGGUUGCUUACGGCGACGGGGGAGUAGGAUGUGUUGUGUUAUUCUUCCCUUUCUUUUUCUAUGUUCUCUCUUCUCAUUUCGACAGUGGUGGCGGAGGUAGGCUCUAGUGUGUGCGGAUUCACUCCCCAGAAGUGUCUGCCGAAAAGUGCCUUCGGCGAUGUAGAGUGAGAACGUAGUGUCAACUGUUUUGAGAUUUUCGUAGGUUAUUGUGUCUGUGCCGCUGUGUAAUGCGCAUGAGGUGAAGUAUAUCCACUAGUUGCGCGUGAGUUGUUUCGGAGUUGAGCCUCAUCGAUUCGUUAUGGAAAGUGGCGUCAAAUUGGGACCGAUGAUCCAGCUACACUGAAGACACCUGAUAGAACUGCGAAAUUUCUGGAUCAUAAAUUUGCUCAAUGCUCUCUGGAGCUUCUGUGUUACCACGUUGGAGAGAGUGUUGAUUUGGACUCCCUGAUAGGGCUUAGGCAUCUUUCAGCCCUUGCUUCGGGUUUUCGUCCUUAUUGGCCUCCCUCAUUGGGCCUCAGAAGCUUCACAGAACAUUGACUUGAUUUGUGACCCUGUGAUGAGGAAGAGAGUGUACCGGUUUACGGACAUCAGUCUCAACGCUAAUAGCCCGAUGUUAUGCUAGUCACUCUGAGUAUUUCCACAGCUAAGAAGACCGGAUUACGCGGUAUCCUGUUGUGGCUGAGUUGCCAAUUUUUGGUAUCUUCUUGGUUUGGUGAUGAGACCAGUCUCAGUUUCCAAGUAUAAUGAGUUCUUGAGUUUAUGUGCAUUCGAACAGGUCUUUCAUCUCUUCUGGGAGUUCCAGGGUGCCGACUUCCUCACCGGUUUUCUUUAGAUCUUUCUACUACGAACCACGUUACAACUCUAAUUCUCUCCUUGUGAUCAUCUUUGCGCUCGUAGUCAUUCGACGUAAAUGCCACGGGAGGUGUUCAAUCUGACGAUGAAAUUAGAAUCAUGUUAAACGUGAUCUUCUGUGUGGCAUUGCUGUCCCGGUUUCUAUACACACUAGCUUGACGUCUACUUCCUUUGAUUAUAUUUGAUGGCUGAAUCGCAGUGUACUGCAUCACUCCUACGCUCUGCCAUUGCAAGUGCGGGUACAAGUAUAUGAUCCUGCGGAUUUAGGAUUUUAUUGGACAUCGAAGGUGCGCGCUCCUACUGCAUCCCCUGUUUCUGUCACUUGAAGGUCCAAAUCUAAACUUGAAUUAAUUAUUGAUUCUCUCUUUUACACAAGUUUGACGAUGUGGCCAUCGCAAAUUUGCGGACGUCACGUGCUGUCAUGUAUCUAACAGAUGGUUGCAUCGUUUGCACGUACAUCCUGCGAACUCCAUGUCACAUCUUAACUCGUCAGCAAUUGUAGACUUAAGCUCGACUUCGGAUCGGCGACUGUCUGUUCUAGAGUAUGCCAGAUUGCUUGUGGGCUAAACAGCCACGAGAGUUCCAUUCUCGCAUGCCUGAAGUUUGUCACUCUAGAAUGGGACAUAUUUGUAUGGUGCUUUGGUUUGUGCGCAGCACUUUCUGCGUCAAUGUUUAGAAGUUGGCGAAGGAAGUAUGUGCGUCACUGGAUGUUUUGGAACCCUAAAUCACUUCAAUACCUUCUAUACUCUGGUGUGUGAUCUACUCAAUAGACAUCGUUAGCUCAUGCUUACAAGUGUUCUGCAAUUUGUGUUAUUGUUGAGCCCAUUCUUCGGGGUCCAGACGUAUCGCAGGUAGCGGGAUAUCAGACGCACAGUUCAGCUCUCAGACGUUAAGGACUGUAAUGUGCAGCGCCUUUCGAAUGUGCAUUCCACCACGAAGCCCAUCCUCAUAUCGUAAUAACUCUUAAUCUUUAAGAGAAUGCGGUCGAAACCAUCGGUCUUGUACCCCUUGCAUCUGUCCUCCGCAGGAACGGUUCAGUUGAUCGAGUCCUUGGUGCAGUGUCCCGAUUAUCACCAUCUUACUACACAUUUCCUUUCGGUUGAACAGAAGUUCUGAGAGUUUCCAGGACUUCAUCGCCGUUACAUGUACACGCUUGACAUACCCCGCGAGCGCUGAUUGUGUCCCCGCCCACAUAUCGUACACGAGUUGUGACUACCGCGUGGCCCAACUGAUAUCCUCCGCGUGCACCCCGGCUGUAAGGUGAAGGUCGCUGUCGUGCCUGUACUGGCGACCCUCCUCGGGGACAGUCUUUGUGAUCUGGUGCGUGACACACCGCAUACAUUCGGCACCUGAGGACCUCCCUUCUGCCACAGUUUAUUCCAGCCUCCACCGAUACGGAGAUUAGUUCAGUCUUCAGAGCAUUCCUCAUUAGAUCAAUCAGGUCAGGUCAGCUCCUGGAAACCUUAUCAAUCGCGUUUCAACCACCAGACUACCAUUGUUUCUCCUCUUUGCCCUGAUUAGCAACUCUGCCCAAAUAUACACACACAAUGUGGAUGAGGCAAACUUUUACCUCCUGGCACCGCGCAUCGCGUACUGACACUAUCAUGCAACUCUCGUGUCUCCGACUUCCUUCAUGUCUACCACGUUUCGAAACCAUUGAAGCUCCAGCGACAGAGAAGACAACCCAUCAUACUGAACGCGGCUGAGUAGCCGACAAGCCACGGAGUUCUCAAUCAUUUUACAAGACGCAUUCCGUUCUUUCUGUGACUCUGCAUCAGUGGUACAACAUCGUCGACGAUGAGUACUGAUCAGUUGAGAACUGCUGCCUACACCCCCUCCCCUCUCCUCCACCAGACAUUUUAGCCUGACCAUGGAUUGAUCAGUGCAUUAACUGCGAUAUCCCUGCUCAACUGAUUAAAUGAGCUGAAUGUUACAAGGUCACAGAAGACAGGAGGUCAACUACACGAGCAUGAUUUCUGCACGAGGUCGGUGCCGUUGUUUGCACACCUCUGUGGCGAGCGGACAACUGCUGCAGUGGCGGCUCUCGGAAGUAGGGAACGGAUGGAAAGCUCGCAUCAAAGCGUAAGAAUAAUCCCAAGUGAUUAUACUCGUUCUGAUUAGUGAAAAUGAUCGCCCUGAUUACUGAGAAUGGUCGUCCUGAUUAGUUGGAUGCACUCAAUAAUGGGGGGGGGGGGGUGUUUGACGAGUGAUUUUGGUGGAAUUCGCUAGCAGAAAGUGGGAAAGUGGAUAAUAUACACUACUUUGCUGGUUUUGGUCAAAAAGUGGUUUGCAUAAAGUUUGCAAAAUGAUUGGAAAAAUCAAUAGCGAUUUUCCACUGAUGCCCAUUCCUUUCUUGUUGCUUCUCUUGCCCUGAUUCUAUUACACCACCGUUCGACGCUAGGGGUAGUUGGCACUUCCUACCCUUGUAUUUUGAAAUUUACAAGUAUCAGUUAUUUUCUCCGUUUAUAUUUUGCAGAAGAAUAUAUGUAUGUAUGUAUAUAUAUAUAUAUAUAUAUAUCUUUGUAUCUUUAUAUAGACACACAUAUAUGUUCUCAAUGAUCUCUGUUUGUGUCUUGCUCUCUCUCUAUCUAUAUAUAGAUAAAUACAUGUGUUCUAAAUGAACUUGAUGCUGUUAUUAAAACCAUGUAUACAUUUUAUUCCAACAACAUAUAAGUAUUUCAAUAUUAUUCUUAUUACUUUACCUUCUGGCUACUUUACUUUUUAUACUAAUUGUUAAACAGUUGUAACAUGUUUAUAUCUCCUUUAUAUUGUACACAAUUUCUAUCUUACCUUUAAGCAAAACUUUGCAACUCUAUUAACAAGUUUUAUUUAAUUAUUUAUUUGUUCUUUUCAAUUACUUCUUAAAAUCCUUUACACAAAAAAACCAACUGAAAAAAGGCAAUGACGAUUGUACUAUGUACAUAAAACAUGGAACCACAGAUUCAAAUGUCGUUAAAUUGAAAGAAAAAUUUAAAAUUCAUGUAGCACUCCUCUAAUUAACAGAAAAGGUGUGAUUUCUUGACCCACAAAGACGUUCUCCGACAUUUAACAUUUACAACUACACUUAAAUAAAUAAAAAAAAGUUAUUAGUGACACGUUGAUACUAUGUUUAUCAUUGUUUGUUAUGCUUUGCCUUUUUUAAGAUGCAAGAGCAAACCUUUCUUGCAUCUUUGGAAAAACAAAACUUUCAUUAUUCCUUCAAAGUGUAUUUUUAAUGUAUUUUACAGUUUUUUUAAAACACAAGAAUAGAGCUGAUUUUGAAAUACCUUCCAGUGUGAUAAAAUGAUGUAAAAAAGUUUAAAUUAAGACAUGUUAAAGAAAAAGAAGCAGUUGUAACAAGAACGUGCAAUAAAUUUAGUUUUCCGACAUCACUCACAUGACUUUGUUAGGAAAAUUUUGCCAUAUUUUCAAAGUAAAUUAAAAAUAUCACUUUUUUAUUUUUAUUUUUAUUUAUAAAAUUACUUUAAUUUUUAUGUUUUCUGUAAUUGAAUACAACAUUGCUGGCGAAAUUUGAACAUUCCUUGGAUUAGUGUUUGUUUCUACUUGUGUGUCUCAUUUAACCAUAUUAGAAAUGUCAUAACUACUAAAAUUCUAAAUACAUAUAUCAAAUGGAUUCCUUAAUAUUAACAAUUUGAUGAUCUCACAGUCAUAAUAUGGUUCUUUUAAAAUAAGUACCUACAGGAAUGUUUUGAUGAAAUCUAGACUGUCUGAUAUUUUGAUUUUUUCAAAUAUUUUCGAGAAUGUAUAAAAAAACAACGAAGGAUGUUAAAAUAUAUUUCUUUUCUUGGAACCAGAUUAUCAUAUUAAUUAUUAUUUUUUAUAAUUGAUUUAAUGCAUUUUGUUGGAAUUUCAUCAUUAUAAAACCUUCAUCCUCAAAGAUAAAGUGAGAAUUAAAAAAGUAAAAGAAAAAAGUAAUUUGAGAAGAUUUUGUAGUACUAACUUUAUGAACCGUUUUUUUAGAAUUGAUAAGUUUCCUUUACAAAUUAUAAGAAACUUUUCAACAAUAUUUAUAAAAUAUCAGUUUGAAAAUAAAACUCAAAAAUAUUUGCAAUCGAUAAAAUGAAAUUAAGUAAUACGACCCGAGAUAAAUUUGAAGGAUUUGAAACUCGAUUUUAAACGAAUGAUUUUGAGUCUGUACAAGAUAUUCAUGUAAUCUACACUCUCUUUAAUUAUAUAUAUAUAUAUAUAUAUAUAUAUACAUAUAUUAAAAAAAAACAUGAAUAUGGACUGGAAAAUAUUCAGUAAAUUAUACAAACACACUUGAGGGAUCAAAUUUCAGAGUGAAUUCUGUUUUUCAUGUUCAUUCUAAAACAAAACAUUUCAUAAGCAAUCACCAUUAUUAAACCCUCUUCCAUAACAAGACAUUCAUCUUAUGCAGUAAAAGUUUUCCCUCAUUCACACCACAAACAUAACAGCACCCUUUCUAUCACAAACAACAGUCCACUUGGCAUCAAAAUGCAGCACUCAUCAUGCAAACUAGAAAACAAAAUAAAAACUGAUGCUAUUUCACAAGGUACGAGUACGAAAUUCAGAAUUAACACACCCCACAUGGAGUAGAAAAUAUCACAUGUAGGUAAAGCCAUGAGAGGGGGUGGGGGGGACCACAACUUUCACUACUCAAUUAAAACUACAAAGAAUUGCCACUUUUUGUAUAAAAACUUGCUAUUCUGCAAAGAGGCGAGAGCUAUAAGUUGAAACACACCCUCACACUAUCAACACAUGUUUGUUUUUAUUCUAGUACUAGUACAAUAGUCUGCAAGCAAGGGGGUCAGCAAGCGCCGCGAGCUCACUCACGGACGCAGCGCGCAUCGACGCAGUCAUGUCAACAGAGGGAGGGAGGGGGGGAAGAUAUUAGAAGAAGGAAACAUAGAUCACACAAUCUGUGUUACAUUACACACAUGUAAUGAGAAAAGUACGAGUGAAAGCGCAGCUUGAGGUGAGGUGGUGCCGCUGCGAGCCAAGGAGAUUGCUCAAUGCUCAUGGGCCUCAAGACCAAGCUUCUACUGCUGAAAAUAUGGAUGUUGUUCAAGGCAGCGUGAGUGAUGGCAAAGUACUGGAAUAUAGCGUAACUGCACAUAAAAAAAAACUUGAGCACUAGUUUUAGAAAACGGAGCUGUGACUAAGAUGUCGGAGCCAUGAUGUGGGUAGAAAGGGGGGAAGAGGUAGGGAGAAAAAGGGGUGGCGAUGGUGGGGGGUGGUGAAGGCUGGGGCAAAAAACGAAUCAUAGGCACCACCUUCUGAUGAUUCACUGACAGACAGCCCUUCCCAACGCAGCGUGAGUACCCAUGAUCAGGAUUUCAAGUCAGAAUUUAACUUAUCUUCAAUGCAAUCAGCUGGUCUUAAAUCCAGCCACUCAAUCGCCCUGCAAAGGGUACUGCGGUUCUGAUGCCCGUGAGUUACAGGCCUUGCAAUUGGCAGCAUCAGCAGAGCCUGCGUGUGUGUGCGUCACCACGGAAAGUGGUCCCUAUGGAGAUUUCGAUCCCAUGCUGUUGGCGGAUCAUCUGAAGUGGGUUGUUUCUAGCUUGUGUGUGAGGACUAGCGCUGAGCAGAUAAUUUGUUGCAUGGCUGUGGCCCUAAAAAAUGCCUCUGCUGACAAUGAUUAGUGGUUGUCAGUAACGCUGCUGCUACUCACCUGAAGCCUGCGAAUGAGCGGCGUGCUGACUUUUCGCUGUGUAAUUGGGGGCAGGCUCCCGAGCUUGAUUCUCUCAAUGGGCUUUUGGACACGACCUCGAUUUGUGGCUAAAGACACAUGUUGAUCACAUGUUGGUGGCUUCCAAGGGAAUAAGGGGAAUGAGGCUCCGGAGACUGACGAUAUGGGCAUCCGGAAAUCCAAUGAACGCAAUCUCAUGGAAUACCGAAGUUGUUUCAUUAAGCACGGGAAUAGUGACAGGAACAAAGUCUUUUGUAGGCAGUCACGGCGACUGCCGAAGCUAGACUUUACGAAGCUUUUGGUUAUCACUUCCCCCUCAUACCACACAGCGGUGAGUUGCUGCAUAUUUGGCCUGCAGGGAUCGAUAGAAGAAUGAAACUCAAAAGGUUUUCAACAAUUUUGAGGAGGUUUCGUCAUCGCCUCUCUGAAUGUGUGCGUUGGAUGUCAUCUUCGAUUAUGAACUUAAUUUCCUCCAUAUCUAACAGCCACAGAGAGGUUGAGUUGCACAAAAAACUAGCAACUAAUACAAGUAAUUUAUACUCUUUUGACUCCGUCAAGCGGAGAUUGCGCACGGAGUAGUAAUGAAUCAUGGUGGAUGCGAGAAUCUGCGUCAGAUUACGCCGAACCCCCAUGAAAGUGAUAAGAGCUAUGAUCAACCCUUUCAUUUUCAGAUCGAUUUUUAAGAGGUCAUCGUGAUUGUUCAGGCGUAUCUUGUUCGCCAACUUGUAUCAAAAAAAUUGUUUCCUCCAUUAUAGAGAGUUUAAAGGUAGACCGAAGAGUAUGGGUAGCUCCAAAUCUGCAGCUACUUUAAGAAUACAGUGCAGUUACACAGACACAAUCUUCCAGCAAUUCCCAAUUCAAUGAUGCUCGCAGAUCCUUUCUGGGAAUCGAAAUCCGUCUACGUUUGUGAUUCUUAGAGCUGAUUUCUGUCGACAAGUCUCACUUACUCGUUUCCAGUGCAGAAAACCAUAAAUUUUCUCCAAAGGCUUAAAAGUUAGAUAGAUGAUUGUUGUUUCCGUUAACAGAUACAUUCAAGGCUUCUAAUAAUAUAAGCUUUGGAGGUACCAAGAAACGCAUUGAAUCUCAAAGAGAUGAAUUAGAAAAUAUAUGAGUGACUUGACGGGACUAAAUGGAUUCAGGUGCUAUGGGUGGUCUCUGAAACUGCUUUGAUUAUGUUCCAUUUACCCACAGCACUGGUUCAAUGCAAAUGGUAGAUUGAACUCAUGAUAAGGUACGAAUCCAUCACAGGGAAGAGAAAGUACGUGAAUGUCCCUUUGAAGUCUAGCUUUUUCUCAGUAGGCCAGUACUCCAAUCGGAACCAACUCAGAUCUUAGAGGAAUACAAGUCCUCUGCUCAAAUUUACAAAUUACGGCGACAAGUCAAGUAAAAAUUACUUAACUCUUCGUAAUGACCCAGUUCUCGACUACGUCACAGAUGAAACAGUCCCUGUCAAUGCUCGGUCAGAAGGCAUUCUAGUUCACUUGUGUCCCAAACACACCCUGACUUUCGUGCCCUGAUUCUGGAAUAAGGACUUCGUUGACGCUGGUUAAGUUUCUUUUUCGAGUAUGUAAACUACAAUGAUAAAUGCAGCUUCGUGACUCAUUGCUUGCACAGCCCAAUGAGCAAGAUCAUGUAAUAUUGUUAGUUGGGUAGAAAAUCAUAAUGCAUGUUUCACUGAAAUGCAAAAGACCAAGGCAACAGUGGAGCACAUCUCCAAUUGCUUCUAAAAUACCCUUGUUCCGAAGCCACAUUCCAGGCCCAUCCAUGCCUGAUGAAGUAGUCGUUGCUAGUGUUUCUUCAAACUUCUUAUGGGUAUAGAGGAAGAUCUUUUUCUUUAGAAACACUCUCUGCCUACUUCGUCGAACUUAUGAUAGGUAAGAAUAGCAUUAAAUAUAGCUGCAAUGUGCCCUUAGGAGCUGAAAAAAUAUCGUCAUAGAAAGAGGCUAUGAGUUGUAUCAGAGGGCUGUAAACUUGAAAGCAGAGAGCAUGUGGUGGAGGCCAAAGAGAGUUUAUGAUGUUACCAAAAUGAUAUUAACGAUAAAAGUGAUAGGAUUUAUACCAUACAAAUGAAUAUGGAAUUAAUUACAGAGGUGUUUCAUUAAAAGAAAAAGCAGUAAACAUUAUCAGCAAUUUAAGCUGAAUGCCCCUUCCAUGAGGAUGAGUUGAAAACUUCUCCACAUAUUCUGAGGCUCCUGGGGUAAUGCAACCCAUGGAAACUUUCCCCCUGCUCCACUGGUUAGUGUAAAAGGGAAAUUAGUCUUGCAAGUCAAGCUGAGUCAUUGAGAGCAUAGCUGUGAACAAAGCCACUGCUAAGACCUUGUCAGAACUGUGUACUGUAUUUUCUUCCUUAACAGCUCAUUAUCACAAUACCAGGUCUCCCCAUUCCAUCCCAGGUCUCUACUGACUCUUAGCUUCAUACAGUAAAGAUGGAACAUCACUUCAUGAUGCCAGCCCUCACCCACAAAUAGCUACACUAGCCCAAGCCCAAGUUGCAAUUACCAUCAAGUUUUGAUCGACCUGUUUCCAACACUUGCCAUAGCACAUGUUUGGAGUGUGCCCAUGAUGGAGCUCUGUACCAAUUGCACCAGAGACCACAUGGUUCACCACAUCCAGAUUCUGAGAGUGAUUUUGUAUCACCAGGCGUUCAGUAGGGUAGAGCUGAAAGCAGUGAUGUUCUACAGUAACUCAACCAGAGUAGUAAUUGUUUAGUCAGAUCAAUUAUGUCAUGAGCAUAAUUAAUCAUGGCACCACAUAAUUCAUGUUGCGUUGCACACAUACACAGAACCCAACUUAAUGCUUCUCAACAAACGAGGCUGUUUACAUUUAGAAGUAAUUGGAGGUAUGGGGAAUGAGAGUGGGGCAAGCUUCGUGCAAGCUCACUCACCGCAUUUAAUGCCGACAUCCCUGACACGAAAAGAUUUGAACUCCAGGAGCUGCCAUUGAUCUCAACGCUGAAAGCAUUUAAGGAGGGGAUGUCUAACUUGACGGUGUUGUUUACUGACUGCCCCGCUGAUUCUUGGCAUCGCAUAGCCAAGCUUUGCAAGCCUGCAAAGCUCCUCCAACCACCACCACCAACGCCACCAACUUUACAGGAAAUCUGAUUGAUGUAGUCAUGACCAUGCUCACAAACCUUACCUCUCUCUGUUCGUUCUCCUGUCAUCGCAUGCUGUACGUUGGCAGCAGCCACAACAGCCCCACAAGGAUUCAGAAGUUCGUUUCUCUCUCUUUAGUCAUGGUUGCCGUAAGGAGCAGAAUUGUUAGGGUUGGGCUCGCAAGUACCUUUGCCACGGUAGAACAGAUCUAGAAGCUCCUAAGCUGGUUCAGUGCCUAGUGCAAGUGUUGAAACCCUGCGAUGACUUGGGAGUCCAGGUGAAAAUUUGUCUAUCGCGGUGGUGCUGUUGGCCAACAAAGUGGAGAUUACAGGGGCGAUGAUUGUGUUUUUAGUCAUAUUCGUCGUUGCAUUGGUUUCGAACGAAGAACAUGGAUCCUCAGCAACAGAGUUCAACGAAACUGACUAGAACUGAGCUCUCUGGUCGGUGAUGGCUGUUGGGAAAGUCUUCUACGACCAGUGCAAUCAAAAUAUAGCAUUUCCAUUCGGGCAUUCGGUAAGCAGUAGGUUCCCUAGGGUAUAAACUUGCAGCCAAUCGCUACUUUCAUCGCCGUUGAAUUGUUAGUUUCCAAAUUGUAAUACUUAUUGAAACAUAGAAAGCAUACUCCACACAAGUAAGUUAGGACCAGCAAGGUUGCACUAUAACAAAUAGAGUGUGGUAUGAGAUAAUUCUUCCCAUGCCAACCCUUUCCUUAUAUACUAGUACCAAGGUACCAAGUGCUACAAUCCAUAUGGGAUAUCUUCUAGGACCAGCCCUCCCCUUGUACUCUAAUGUACUAUAGACCAGCACCCUACCUUAUGGGAUAUCCUUAACAACACUUGUACUCUAUUGACCAUUAGCAACUACUUAAAGAGUUCUUUUCUCAACACUCCCACUUUGCUAUUGGUCAAUUAGCUAUCAAUCCUAAUGCCUUACUCAACUUCUUGUGUCCUUCUCUAACUAAGGCUUUUGUCAACAAAUCAGCCAACAUGUCUUUGGUUUCACAAUACAUCAUAUCAAUAACCUCCAUCUCUAUCUUCUCUCUUAUGAAAUGAUGCUGAAUAUCAAUGUUUUUAGUUCUUCCAUGAUGCUUUGGAUUCUUUCCAAAAGCAAGACAUCCUUGAUUGUUACACCUCAAUGGAGUAGCCUCCAAUUACACAAGUCCAAUAUCUUCCAAUAACAACCUCAAUCAAAUUGCCUCCAUUGCUUUAUGACUUGCUGCCAAAUACUCCGCCCCUAUUGUGGACCUUACAAGGUUUGGUUGUCUAUUGCUAUUCGAAGAUAUGGCUCCCACUCAAACAAAGAAUACAUAGCCCAUUGUUGACCUUCAAUCGUUUGCAUCUCUCUUGGUUCUAAGCACUCACUUACAUCCAAUUGUUGUGGAAAGAUGUGGUUCUUUCACCAUUCACCUUGUGGUCUUCUCUCACGUGUUGGAUAUCUUCUUUCAUGCAAAGAAGAUGAGCCUUCUUGCACCUCUUGCUGCCUUGUAUGACUCAUGGAGUGCUUUCUCUUACUCAUUUGUUGGUAUUCUUCAUCUUCAUUCUCUUCAUUGUCCUUGUUGUAUCUUGCUAGAAUUGAAGUCUUCAUAGUAUUGGGCUCUUCUAUCAUGGCAACUUCCUCUUCUUCUUCACUUUGAGAAUGCUCUUCUUCAUCUUCUUGUUUGUUUGUUGGAAUUGAAGAUGUGUCCACAAACACACCACUACUCCCACUUGGACACAUCUCCCACUUUUCACUACCACUCAUAGAUGGUGUCCUCAUGGAUCCACAAACAUCCGAAUGCACAAGCUCCAGCAAUUGGUUUGCUCUUGUUGCAACUCCUCUAGGAAAUGGUGUCCUAUGUUGUUUGCCUUGAAUGCAUCCCUCACAAGCAAAAUUCAUCGUAGAAUGGCCAAGGUCUAUGCCAUUUACCUUGGAUUGAUGCCCCUUCAUGCUUUUGGCAUUCAAAUGCCCAAGUCUUUGAUGCGAAAUGCCCAUCUUCUCUUCAUUUGAUGGAAAUUCAGCAAAGGCAGCAACCUCCACUCCAUUGAUCUUCUUGCAAUUGAUAAUAUAGAGAUUGCCAUUCCUAGUCCCUUUUGCUACUUCUUUGCCUUCCAUGGUUCUCACAAAACAUCCAUUCAUGUUAAAUUGCACUUUGUACCCAUGAGUUACAAGUUUACUCACCGAAAGGAGGUUCUUCUUCAUCUUUGGCACAUGCAACACAUCCUUGAGAGUGAUUCUCUUGCUUAUGCCCUUCACCACCACCUCCACUACAAUGGUGCCUAUUCCAAUGGCUUGUACCAUACAAUUAUCACCUAACCAAACCUUGGUUGCUUGAAUAAGUUGAUAAGUGUUAAAUGAACACUUGUAUGGAGUCAUGUGUUUGGUACAUCCGGAAUCCACAAUCCAUUUGCUCAUAUCAAACAUGGAAGGAGUUUGUUUUGCCAUGAAUGCAAAGUCUUCACCUCCAUGGUCAUGCAAAGCAUUGUUGGCAUUCUCUCUUUCUCCUCUCUUUGCUUUGAAACAAUUUCUAGCAAAAUGGCCUGGUUUUCCACAAAUGUAACAAGUUUUAGGAGGAUAACGUUGAAAAGGGGCACUUGCCUUACUUGGUCUUGUAAAUAGUGCUGAUUGCUCCCCAAUAGACUCCUUUUGCUUUCUUUUGGUCACUUCAUGGGCUAGUCUUGCCGUGACAUAGUCCAAAGUGAGGUCUUUCCUUGAAAUGGACUCCAAUGCCACAAUGAGGAAGGAAUAGGAGUCCGGAAGGCUUGAGAGCAAUGUCAUCACAACAUCUUCUUCAAGUAAAGGCUUGUCAACAACAGCAAGUUGGUUUGCAAGUGCUUUUACCUUAUUUACAUGAGCCAUGAGAUCUUCACCUUCUUCCAUCUUCACAAUGAAGAACUUUUGCCUUGACCAUAGCACAUUGGAAAGAUUCCUACUCUCAUAGACAUUGCAAAGAGUCUUCCAUGCAUCUGCUGCUCCUUUGCAAGAAAUGACAUGAGCAAAGUUGGUUUCAUCUAAGUUGGUGGCAAUUAUGCCAAAAGCCUUCUUCUCUCGUCUUUUGAAUUCCUUUUGCUCCUUCAUGCUUGCCUCUAAUCCAGGUGCCUCUUCCUCCUCACAUACUAUCUCCCAAAGAUCCAAUGAUGCCAAAAGUAGCUCCAUUUUGGCCUUCCAGUGGUGAAAGUUGUCACCUCUAAACUUUUCUACCAUUCUUAAGCUAUCACUCUCAAAAGAUGCCAUCUCAAGCUACAAGUAGGUCCAAAAAUCUCUUGAUUUGGAGUUGUAAUGCAAAAGAUAUGACUACUCAAAGAUUGCUGAACUACAAACUCAGAAUUCGCUGUUUUGCAACUUUUUGCAUACUUUGAGUCCAAAUCACGUCUAAAUGGUGGAAAAUGCUAUGUCAUGUAAUUCUAUGGCUUUCAAACAUCUCUCUCACAUCACCUCACUCAAAAUGACUCAAUUUCUCAUAAAACUCUCAAAUACUAGUGUUACUUCAGCAAAGACACUAUCAAGGUCUUGCACUAACCUCAUACACUCACAAAUCCAGGAGUAAUGACUUCAACAAAACACUAGUAAUACUAUACCAUAAGAUCUCAACCACCAAACAAGCAACAAAGAAAAUAAAAUGCAAGAACAACUUACUUGGUAAGAGAAUGUGGGCCCAUAACCUAUUGAAACAUAGAAAGCAUACUCCACACAAGUAAGUUAGGACCAGCAAGGUUGCACUAUAACAAAUAGAGUGUGGUAUGAGAUAAUUCUUCCCAUGCCAACCCUUUCCUUAUAUACUAGUACCAAGGUACCAAGUGCUACAAUCCAUAUGGGAUAUCUUCUAGGACCAGCCCUCCCCUUGUACUCUAAUGUACUAUAGACCAGCUACCUACCUUAUGGGAUAUCCUUAACAACACUUGUACUCUAUUGACCAUUAGCAACUACUUAAAGAGUUCUUUUCUCAACAAUACUCACAGAAGCUCAAAAAAUCAAAAAGAAAAUGCUAGAAACCAAUUAUUCACAAGAUCUGAACGGUCUAUUCUUAAUGUGCAAAAGCGAAAGUGGCGGUCGAAUGCAAGGAGACAUCGGGGAAAGUUGUGGACUCCGCCACGGGAUCAACAAAUUUUCUGGAAGAUUUAAUUUUUUAGUUCUACAGAGAAGUAGGAUCUGUCAGGAUGCUCAGUUUCUUUGGCUGGAAGCUCACACAGCAAACGCAACAUCGUCCGUAGCGGAGGAAAGACAUUGUCCUUAAAUUCCAAGUUUCUUCUCUACGCCAUGCAUGAAGUGGAUCCUCUGUUUUAUAAACCUGCACAGCCAAUGGAACUCUGCCCGAAGCUAAGGACUCCAUUGCCAGGACCUCCAGGUAGAGGCAUCACUGUCCCCUACCCCAAUACACCCCCAUCGACUUGCUCAUCCAUGUGCGAGCCCUCUCUGCCCUUUGAAACAUUACAAUGUCCGAGUCUGAGCACUAUCGUCCUUGCCCGACUGCACAUUGAUGUAAAAAAACGAUGGAUUUCACUAUGCUCCUUCCAGUGACUGGAUUCGCCCUGACUACAUAUGGUACUGACCGAAACAUAAUGCAACGAUAGGGAUACAAUCGUAAGCGGUGUUUUUCAGUAGAGAAGCAUAGAAAAUGCAUGGGAAAAAGAGGCGUGCCGGCAGCCUCUGCAGAGAUGAGGAACUGCUGCGUGACGCCGUAGCUGCCGUGCGCAACUCCCGCAUGAACUAGAAUUUGUUCCAUGUCCUGGCUUAGCAUUCAAGCAUCUUUUCCAAGGCGCAACAAGCCCCCGAUUCUGCGAAAGCUGAGCAAGCAAAUGGCGUUCAAGGAUGCCAACAAUGGCUUAGGCAAAGGAAAGUAUAUGCUCGUUUCCUGCGUGUGGUAUUCCACUUAUCAUAAGAAUGAAUGUCGUAACUUGAAAAUUUUCAAUGAUGAAGAACAUAUGCGUUUUGUUGUUGUCAAUUCUUUUGGAGAUAUUUGUAUUGGUGAAUUUCUUUUAUAUAAACUUAGUUUAUUUGAUUAUUUUAGAACUAUUACAACACACACACACACACACACACACACACACAUAUAUAUAUAUAUAUAUAUAUAUAUAUAUACUUAUUUAGAUGUAUUUAUUCAAGUUUAAAUUUUUUCAUAGAUUUAAAUAUCAUUGUUAAAGAAAAUUAAUUGGUUUUAGAAUUGAUAUCAAUAACUUGGAUUAAUUUUUUUGAAUGCAUUUAAAAAAUAUAAUACCAUAACAUACAUUAAACAUUUUAAUAUAUGCUCACUAGUAUAAAUCUAUACUAUUAAGUCUACAUAUGGUGUUAGUAAAAUGCAUAGAUUUUAUAUUAAAGAACUAUGUAUAUAUCUAUAUAUAUAUAUAUAUAUAUAUAUAUAUAUAUUCUUAUUAAAAUAAAUAAUUAUAUAAAAAUAAUUGCUAUCUAAUAUAGAUCUAUCUAUCUAUUUGAAAGAAUAUUAAAUUGAUUCUAUUAACUAUUAAUUUAAUCUAUCUAUUAUUAGAAUCACAAAAAAUAUAUCAUUAUCUAAUUAUAUUAAUAUCUUUAUAAAUAAAUAAUUUAAAAAUAAAUUAUGAAGAUGCAAUGUUGUUGUGUGGUAAUACAACUAUAUGAUGAAAAUAAAAUAAAAAAUAUGAAUGUUAUUAAUGAAGAGCCUAAUAGAAAGAUGUAGUAAAAAAAUAAUAAUAAAUUAUAGAAAGGAAGUAAAAAGUUUAGUCUUAAUACUACCUUUUAAAGAAGAGACUUGUAUUUACUUUAUAGGGGGUAUAGAAGCCUCAAAUCAAAGUAAAUGAAAUAAAUAAAUAAUAUAAGCAACUUUAAGAGAGUCUUCUUUGGCUAUCAAUUUUUUAAUAAUUUAAAAACAGACUUAAGAAAAAUUGAUAUCCAAAGAAGACCAAUUAUCAACUUGGAUUGAAAUGAGAUCCUAAGACACUAAACAGUGCGCCUAUGGCAACUCUAAGGUUCUUUUACAAAUUAAAGAGUAGAAUUUGAAAACAAACUUAAGGAAAGAGUUUUGAAUAUUAAUUUCAUGUUAUUUGGAUUAAUAUUGAAAUUUUGAAGAAUUUUUAAAAUUAAUAAUAUAUUUGGUAUAUUUAGAUUUUGAAAAAUAAAAAUACAUUUAUAAAUUUAAAAUUUUCUUGAGUUUUGUAGCAUAGGCACGAGUGAAAAUUAGGCAAUUUAUUUUUGUACUUGUUAUGAAUGUAUAAAAAAUUUGAGAACAAUCGAAUAGUAAGAUUGAAGCAUAUAAGAGUUUUUGUGGAUUAUAGUCUCAGAAAUUUGAGAUUUAAGAUCAAUGAGUGAUUCUAAGUUCUAAUAAUAUUUUCUAGUUGGAUUGAAGCAAAAAUUGGUGAGAGCAAUAAAGAUUUGAAUAUCUACACACAAUCCAAUUUUUGGAGCAAUUGAACAGUUCAGCAAGGAAAAAUUGGUGUUGAAAGAUCAACAUUCAAGUCGGAGAAGGAUUGUAGCUAAUGACUGAGAGGUUUUAUGAGAUUUUCUUGCUAUUGGUAUGUGCAAUCUUCUUCAAAUUUUUUAUACUUAUUGCUUACUUAGUUGGUACAAGGUAUGAAAAUUUUGAGUCAAAAUCAAUAGUUCAAUCAUUAGUUAUUGAAUUUUUAAUCUGCUAUAGGAUUAUUAAGAUAUAUUCAAGAUUCAGAAGUUGAUUAAGAAUUGAUUAAGGUUAAUUUAAGAUUUAAGAUUUAGUUAAAAUUUAAUUAAGAUUUCAUUAGGAUUUAGUAAGGAUUUAAGAUUUAUCUAAGAUUUGGUUAGAAUUUAGGAUUUUGUUUGGAUUUGAUUAAAAAUUAACUAAGAUUUAAAUAAAUAUUUGUGUACAAUUUAUGUAGGAUUUUUCUAAGUUUUGAAGAAGUAUUUACUAGGAUUUAUUAAGGUUGGUCUAGAAUUUAGGAUUUUAUUAGGAUUUGACCUAAGAUUUGGUUAAGAUUUAUUAGGAUUUUAAUUAGGAUUAAAUUAUGAUUUAAUUAACAAAUAUUUAGGAUUUAUUUAAAAUUUCUAUUUUUAAUAUUUCUUUAGUAUUUUUUAUUUUUUCUUUAAAUUUUUUUAUUUCUAAUAUUUUUUUAAGUUUUUUUUAUUCUUUUAAGAUUUUUUUUUAAAGAUUAAUUUAGAACUUCUUUAUGUUUUUUUUAUAACUUCUUUUAAAUUUAUUUUAGAUUGGUUAAAUUUUGAUUAGGAUUAUUAAAGAUUAUUUAAAUUUUAUGUAAGAUUUUAUGUCAAGGACAUGAAUCUCGAAGAAAGAAAAUCCUCAUUACACUUUUAUAUCACUGAAAGGAAUUAGAAAGUCACUCAAAGAUUAUAUAAUAUUGAACUAGAAUGGCUAUUGCCAAAAACAAGAAGAGUAGAAAGUCUUGAAACAAGACUAAGGACUAGAAAGGCAUUGAUAAGAGUGAAAAAGGCUUUACUCUUGCCUCCAUAUAUACUCUUAACUAGGAGCUAUGUGGUGAUAUUCUAUAGGACCUCCAAACCGUGUUAACUUUGCAAGAUACGUAUCUUAACUUGCAAGGUAAGUUUUUUAUAUGUGCGCCACAUAGUUAGCUUGUUUUGUAAGCUACAAACAUGUGGUUAAUUUGUUAACCAAGUUUCUAACUUACUAAUCAACUAUAAACUUAUACAAAGUCAAGUAGUAUCUAUGAAGCUAUUAGAAAGCUUCUCUAAAAGGUCUUAUGAAAUUAACCUACUUUUAUUCAUUUUUAUCUAUUCUUAUCUAAUCAUAUAAGUAUUUAUUAGAAUACUUAUAUAUGUCCGUAACAUUAUCCCCCUUUUUAGGGACAAGUUCCAUGAGAAGCAAUCUUCAUAUGUUGAAAAAAUCUAAGAUGUGGAGAAUUAUAUUUGCCACAUAAUUCAAUCUUUGUUCUCUUCGAAGAUGGUUGAUAGGCCUUUUCAACCAUUGAUAGUUUUCCAUAUCAAGAUGAGAAGACCACCUUGUUAUUUGGUCAUUGUUGAGGCCUUCGUAACUUCCUUUAAAUAAAAUAUUUUGAACACUAUCAGGACUUGUUCAUAUCUCUAAUAAAAUCACCAAACAUUGUGAGUCUCUUCCAAGGUCCUGAUACCAAAUAAGUUGUAUCUCACUAUCUAUUUGAAGAAGGACAUGUCGUUCUUGAGGAUCUUCAUUUUGAUUUUGUCGACUUGAAGGUUGUGACAAUCACAAUGUGUUAUCUGAUAAGUUUGCAAAUGAAAGCUUUUGAGUUGAAUUUACUAGUUGUUAGUUCUCUAUCUCUUCAACUACAUAAAACUAUAAAGAAUGAUAGAAAGUAAAGUAUUAUCUUCCUUUGGUCUUGUUUCUUUUAUAGCAAAUAUUUACUAUUUUUCAUCUUGGUUUUGAUGGAUGUUGUUGAUAGAAGGCUUCAACUCUCUUUGCUACAUUUGCAAGAUUCUUUGAUGGCUCCUAUAUGCGUUCACUAAUAUUAUAUCCAUGCUAAUGAACAAGAUAUUUCAACCUAUUUCGAUGCUGCCUUGAAUCUAAGACUUCUUCUACCUCCAACUCUUAAUUAUUAUCUACUUCUAUGUGAGGAGGUGGUAUUUUUCUUCUUCUCAAGAUAUUUAAUGUCUUAUAUAGCUUAAAAAGGGACACGUCAAAUGUAUGAUGGAUCUUCAUAGACUCUGAUAGAUGUAAUCGAUAAGCAACAAGAUUAAUUCAUUGACAAAUAGGAAAAGGUCUCAGCCUACAAUAGUCCAACUUAUCACAAAGAUAAGUAGUCUUGAUAUUGUGACAAAGUAACCAUACCUUAUUACUUACAUUAAAUUAUGAUUGCUCCUUGCAAUAUGUAUUUACGUUGGCCUUUUGUUGUUCUUGAGCUUCUUUUAAUUUUGUCUUUGUUGCUGUAUAUAACUCUAACAAAUAAUUUGCUAAAUCUUUUGCCAUAGGAUUAUCAACAUUUGAAAAGUCAAAAGUAUUAAGUUGUAGUUGAUAACCAUAAUUGACAAAGAAAGGUGUUAAUUGAAUGGAAGAAUGUAUUAAAUUAUUGUAUGCAAACUCUACCAAUGGCAAAAGAGUUGUCCAAUCAUCUUAAUAAUAGUUGAUGGUACAUCUCAAAUACUCUUCCAAAACUUGAUUCACAUGUUCUAUGUACCUAUCAAUUUGAGGAUGAAAAGUUGAAGAGAGCUUUAUAUCCAUUUUUAGAAUUUUGAAUAGGAUUUUUCAGAAUCUUAGUACAAAUUGAGUCCCCCUAUUUAAUAUAAUAUCUUUUGACAAUCCAUGAUAGUGAUAGAUAUUAUCAAUGAAAAGUUUAGUUGUUUCUUCAUUUAAAAUAGAUUUUAAAUAUGGUACAAAAUGUGCCAUUUUGAUGAAUUGAUCUAUAAUUAUGAAUAUAGAGUCAUAUAAACUUGAACUUCAAAGAAUUCUAAUAAAAUCCAUAGAAAUGAAAGACCAUGGUUGUUUAGAUAUAGACAAUGGUUGGAGAAGUCUAUAAGAUCAAUAGUGAAGAGUUUUUGAUCUUGAAUAAAUAUCACAUGACUGAAUAAAGUCUUUUACCGCCUUUCAUAUUUGUAGCCACUAAAAAUCUUUAGAUAUAAGAUCUAAAGUCUUAUUGUAUCCAAAAUAUUGUAUUGCUUGAAAGACAUGAUGUGCUUGAAGAAAAUAUAAAUGUACUUCUCUUUUUGAAACAUAUAGGCAUCCUUUGAAAUAGAAUAGGUUGUUCUUGAAUUUGAACUUUGUAAUAUCAUGAAACUUAGAAGAAAGUUUUUAUUGAUAUCAUAAAUAAGAAGAUCAGAGGAUAUACUUGAUUGAAUUUAUUUGACAAAGGUCAAAUCAACAAUCAAUGUUGAUUCUAUUGCUCAAAGAUAAAAAUGCUCGAGCUUCAAGAAGAUUGUUUUUUAUUUAUCAAAAGAUACAUCUCUUUCUUUUCGUGCAAGAUAAAAGGGUCUACAAAGAGCAUCUGAUUUUUUUUUAGGUCGAUAUGUGAUUUUGAAAUCAAAUCUUAAUAAAGAUAUGUUUCAAUAGACUUGGCAACAAAUCAAAACACGUAUUGACAUGAAAUACUUGAGGUUCUUGUGAUUUAUAUACAUUAUGAUUAGACUUAUAGUGCCUUUAAAAUAAUGAUGCCAUUCUUAAAAUGAAUUCACAAUUACAAAAAGUUUCUUGUCGUAGAUCUCAUAGUUAAUCUCAGCUACUAAAAAUUUUUUAGAAUAGAAAGCUACUAGAUGGAAUUUGUCAUUUGUUCCUAUUUGAGACAAUACUUCAUAUAAAGCAAAGUCUAAUGCAUUUGUAACCAUAAAGAAUACCCUGGAAAAAUUGAUGCAAUACAAAGUUGGUACAGAAGUAAAUUUCUUCUUCAAAGUAACAAAUGAUGCUUCAACUUCUUUAUUCCACUUAAGUUUUUCUUUACAAGUCAAACAUGUAAGUGGAGCUACAACUUGAAAAAAGUUCUUGAUAAAGAUUUGGUAAUAAUUGGCAAAGCUCAAAAAGCAUUGCACAUGUCUUAUUAUUCUUGAGAUCUUCUAAUUUAUGAUAGUUUGGACCUUCUUUGAAUCUAUUAUAAGGCCUUCAUUGUAAAUGAUAUAUUUCAAAAAGCCAACUUGAGUAGUGUGGAAUACAAACUUUUUUAUCUUUGCAUAUAAUGUUGCAUCUAUUAAUUUUUGUAAUACAUGACAAACAUGAAUUUUAUUCUCUUUUAUAUUUUUAGAAUAGAUUAAAAUAUUGUCUAAAUAAUAGACAACAAAAUUAUCAAGAAACUUGCAAAAAAAAUCAUUCAUUAGAUGUUGAAAAGUAGUUGGUACAUUUGUGAGUCCAAAAGGCAUGACAUUAUAUUCAAAAUAUCCAUACCUAGUUUGAAAAGUAAUCUUCUAUUCAUCUCCUUCUUUGAUGUAGACUAGAUUAUAUGUUCCUUGUAGAUCUAUUUUUGUAUAGUCUUUGCUUCAUUUAGUUGAUCAAGAAGUCUUAAAAUCAAAGGUAGAGGAUACUUAUUCUUGAUGGUGAUGUUGUUAAAUCCUCGAUGAUCCACACACAUCUACAGAGAUCCAUCUUUUUUCUUCACAAAUAAGUUAGAAGUACUAGCUGAAGAUUUAUAAUGGCAUAUAAAAUUCUUAGUCAAGUUUUUAUCAAUAUAUUCUUUGAGUGCAGCCAAUUUACUUUGUGAUAGGCUAUAAAUUGGUUCAAAUGGUGGUUGAGUUCUUUCUUGAAGAUCAAUGGAACAAUCAAAGGACAAUAUUUUGGAAGAAUAUCUGCAUUCUUCUUUUAAAAAAUGUCUUAGAAAUCUUGAUACUAGCUAAGAAUACUACUUAAUAUCUUUUCACCAAUAGCAAUGGACAUGGCAUAUAUAGCAAAAGAUGGCCCUUCAUUUGUAGCAUGCAUGAAAAUUCUCAUACCUACCAAUAAGAGUUUGGAUAUACUAGAGUUAUGAAUUUCUACUUGCCUAAUAGGACCUUAAGCUAAACUAUAGAAGAAAUUAAGAUUGUAAGAAAUUUAGUCCAUCUAAGGGUUAUAACUUUUUAACUACAAUAACCUUAAAUGAUUGAAUUAAAAAGAAAUUUAAUCAUAUUAAAUAUUAUUAAAAUAUUAUGACUAGUAGUUGCUACUUCUUUAGAAAUAGUUUCAUGUGUAAUAUCUCCAAAAGAUAAUAAACGUCCAUCUAUUACUUCUACAUAGACAAAUUUGAUUUUUUAAACUAAGGAUAUAUCUUAUUUUUUUCAUAAAGUCUUUAUCUAUAAAACAAGCUGAGGUUCCAAAAUCCAACAAGACUAAGACUUUGUGAUUUUUCAAUCCUAAACAAACUUCUAUUGUAAAACAAGAUGAAGAAUCAAAGGAUAGAAUAGAACCUUUUGUCAAAGACAUGAACUAAAAGAUGAUGUAUAAACCAAUGAAAUCCAUGUCAAUAAAAGAGUAACAAAAUAGAAAUAAGGAAGUAUGUAUAUUAAAAGAAAUUAAAAAGGCUUAUUGCCAAAAGAUAAGAAAACUUGAGACUCUUGAAACUAGACUAAAAGCAAAAAAUGAGUUGACAAGAGUGAAGAGGACUUCACUCUUGUCUCUAUAUAUACUAUCUAAUUAGGGGCUACAAGACAAUGUUCUAUAGACUUCUAAUAUGUGUUGACUUUGUAGGACACAUGCCUUGACUUACAAGGCAAGUUUUUUUACAUGUAGGCCACAAAGUUACCUUCAUCUUUAAGCUAACAACAUGUGUGGCACAUGGCCAACUUGUUGACCACAUUUCUAAUCCAAAAAUUCAAUUAAAGACACCUAUAAAAUCAAAGCAACAUCUAUAAAGCUUCUAGAAAGCUUCUAUAGAAGAUAUUAUAGAAUUAACUUACUUUUAUUUAUUUCUAUUUACUUCUACCUAUUUAUACAGGUAAUUACUAGCUUAUAUGGAUAUGUCCAUGACAUUAUCCUCCCUUCUAAGAACAAGUUCUACGAAGAGCGAUCAUCAUAUGUUGAAAAAAUUUAUGAUGUAACAAAUUGUAUUCACCACAUACUCAGAUCUUUGUUCUGUUCAAAGAUGGUUGAUAGGGCCUGUCAACCAUCAAUAGUCUCCCAUACUAGGGUGAGAAGACCACCCUAUUAUCUGAACAUUGUUGAGGCCUUCAUAACUUCCUUCAAAUAAAAUAUUUAGAACAUUGUUAGGAGUUGUUUCUACCUCUAAUAAAAUUACCAAAUACUUGGAGUUCCUUCCAAAGUCAUGAUAUCAAAUGCGUUGUAUUUUACCAUCUAUUUGAGGAAAAACAUAUCAUUCUUGAGGAUGUGCAUCUUGAUUACAUCGUCUUGAAGGUUGUGAUAAUUGUAAUGUCUCGUCCAACAAGCCAACAAACAAAGGAUUUUUGAGUUGAAUCCCCUAGUUGUUGGUUCUCCAUCUCUUCAACAUCACAACUAUAAAGAAACUACAAACAAGGAUUAAAAAUAGAAUGUUAUCUUACGUAAAUCUUAUUUCUUUUAUAAGAAAGAUUUUCAUCUUUAUUUUGAUGGAUGUUAUUGAUGAAAAGCCUCCAUUGCCUUUGUUGCAUUUGUAAGAUUCUUUAUUGGCUCCCAUGUGCUUUCACUAAUAUUAUUUUUGUGCCAAUGGACAAGAUGUUUUAAUUUAUUUUGAUGUCCCUUGAAUCUAAGACUUCUUUGACUUUGAACUCUUUAUUAUUGUCCACUUCUAUAGGAGGAGGUGGAGCUUGUCUUCUUUUUGGUAUGUCUGUUGUCUUGUAUGGUUCAAGAAGAGGCACGUGGAAUACUGGAUGGAUUUUCAUUGACUCCAAUAGGUAUAAAUAAUAUGCAACAGGAUUGAUUUGUAUAGAAAUAGAAAAUGGUCCAAGUCUUUGAUAGUCCAACUUGUCACAAAAACGAGUGGUCUUGAUAUUGCGACAAAAUAAUUAUACCUUAUCACCCAUGUGGAAUAGUGGUUGUUCCUUUCAAUAGACAUUUGCAUUGACCUUUUAUUGUUCUUGAGCUUCUUUUAACUGCGCCUUUAUUGUUGCAUGUAGCUAUGACAAAUAAUUUACCAAAUCUUUUGCCAUAAGAUUAUUAGCUUUUGAAAAGUCAAAAGUAUGAAGUUAUGGAUGAUAACCAUAAUUGGCAAAAAAAAAUAUUUUUUUUAUUGAAGAAUGUAUCGUGUUAUUAUAAACAAACUCUGCCAAUGGCAAAAGAGUUGUUCAAUCAUCUUGUUGGUAGUUGAUAGUACAUCUUAAAUAUUGCUCCAAAACUUGAUUAACACGCUCCAUUUGUCCAUUACUUUGAGGAUGGAAUGUCGAAGAUAGUUUUAUAUCCACUUUUAGAAUCUUAAAAAGAGUCUACCAAAAUCUUGAUACAAAUUAAGUUCCCCUAUCUAAUAUAAUAUCCUUGGAUAAUCCAUGAUAGCGAUAAAUAUUGUCAAGAAAGAGCUAAGCUGUUUCUUUACUUGUGAUAGAUUUUGUACAUAGUACAAAACGUAUCAUCUUAAUAAAACAAUCUACUAUCACGAAUAUAGAGUCAUAAGAACCUAAGAUUGGAAGAUCUGUGAUGAAAUCCAUAGAAACAAAAGAUCAUGCUUAUUCUAGAAUAGGUAAUGGUUGAAGAAGUCCAUAAGGUCGAUGACAAGGAGUUUUUGAUCUUGAAAAAAUGUUGCAUGACUGAACAAAGUCUUUCACACCCUUCCACAUUUGUGGCCACCAAAAAUCUUUAGAUAUAAGCUCCAAAGUCUUGUUGUAUCCAAAAUAUUUUAUUGCUAGAAAGUCGUGACAUACUUAAAGAAUAUAUAAUCAUACUUUUUCUUUUGGAACAUAUAAUCAACCUUCAAAAUUGAGUAGGUUGUUUUUGAACUCAAACUUAGAAGUAUCUUGAGGCUUAAAAGAAGGAUUCUUGAUAUUGUGAAUAAUAGGAUGAGAAGACAUACUUGAUUGGAUUUAUUUCAUAAGGGUUGAAUAAACAGUAAAUUUUGAUUUCAUUACUCAAAGAUGAAAAUGCUUUGGCUUCAAGAAAAUUAUUCUUUGUUGAUCAAAAUAUGCAUUUCCUUCUUUUGGUAUAAGAUAAGAAUGUCUAGAAAGGACGUCUGACAAACCUUAUUAUUUUUCGGGUCAAUAUGUGAUCUUGAAAUCAAAUCUUGAUAAAGACAUGCUCUAAUAGGCUCAGCAACGAUUCAAAACACAUGUUGAUAUAAAGUACUUAAGGUUCUUGUGGUCCGUAUAUACGGUGAUUGGAUUGAAAGCGCCUUCUAGAUAAUGAUGCCAUUCUUGAAAUGAAUCCACAAUUGUAAGAAGCUCUUUCUCGUGGAUUUCAUAGUUAAUCUCGACUGCUAAAAUUUUUUUGAAAUGAAAAGCUACUAGAUGAAGUUUAUCAUAUGUUUUUAUUUGUGAUAAUACGGCACCCAAAGUAAAAUCUGAUGCGUAUGUUUCCAUAAAAAAUACCUUAGAAAAGUUGACAUGAUAGAAGAUUGGUGUAGAAAUAAAGGUCGACUUUAAAGUUUCAAAAGAUACUUCAACUUCUUUGCUCCACUCAAAUUUAUCUUUGUAAGUCAAAUGUGUAAGUGGGACUGCAAUUUGAGAGAAGUUUUUGAUGAAGAUCUCAUAAUAAUUGAUAAUAUAUAAUUAUGGAUUAUACAUUCAAAAUAAAUAAAUUUAAAAUAUCCAUGCUAUAUAUUGUAGAUGUAACAAGUUUCAAUAUGUUCUUUACAAUUGUUGUUCCACUUUUCUAAGAAGAAAUACAACUAUUCUUUUAUUUGAUGUUGAUACAUUUUGUUCUAUUGUAUGGAGCAUUGUAGUCCAUCAAUGUUAGUGCUUAUAAGAACUUUGUACUCAUAAAUGCCAUCAAAGAUAUUUUUCUCACAUUUAAGAUUUUGCUUUAUAUUUUUUACAUUCAAAAAAAUAUAUUGGCUAAUUGCAAAAAAUAUUUUUUAUUCAAGGAAAAUGGUAGUUGAUCUGGCUUUCUUGCAAAUGGAAUAAGAUAAUGAAUUCUUCUUUGGAAGAAGUUUUUCGAUAUAGAAUAGAUAAACUUCUACAUUAUGAUUGUUUAUGCUCCUAUAAAUAAAGCUAUUGCAUAUCUUCAAAAAACUUAGAUUCUUUAUAAGAAAUAAUUUGUCAAAUUUUAAACAGAUAGUACUCUCCAUCUUCAUUAAGUGAUUACAUUGCAUGCAAAAAGGCAAGUUUCUAUCUUAAAGUUAUACAUCAAAGUUUCUACAAAAGAUCUUUAAAAUAUGUAGAUUUUUUUUAUCUAUCUUUUUUAAUGAUACAAUCAAAGAAAUUAAGACAUAAGAAAGUUUUGAAUGCUUGCAUGCAUGCUACCCCCACAACAUCAACUUUUUUAAGGAUGUUAUUAUAAAGAUGUCAAUACAUACUUUUAAUCUUAUAUUUGUAUAGUUUCAGUUUGCUACAACAUGCUUGGAUACUAACAAAAGUCCUUGUUUAUAUAUAUUUACAACCACAUUUGGACUCCCUUCUCAAUAUUAAAUUAGGACAAUGUUACAUUAUUGAAAGAUAUUGAUGAUUGGUGAAUUUGUUACUUUUGAUGGCUGAAUGCACUCUAAGCAGAAUUGUUGUUGCUAUCAAAUUAGACAUUAUCUUCGAAGAAGUUGGUUGAAUAUAUGAGCUUAUUCCAUCCCACCAACAAUUGAAGGUACACAAAAGGCUCUUAGAACUAGCAAAAAUGACUAUAGUUUUAAAGAACCUUCCAAUAAGCCAUCCAAAAGGUUGUCUACAUAGGUCAAAAAAUAAAAUGAAUCUAUAUUCUAUAUAGUGAUUUUCUUCACAAUUAAAACAUGUAAAAGGCACAAGUGUAAAUAUGCACUAUUACGAAAAUUACAAAAGCAUUGAGCAUAAUAUUUGCACUAAUUCUUAUAGUGUUCAUGCUUCACAACUUUUUAUUGUUACAUCAUCAACUAAGUUGAGUUCAUUGCUAAUUGACUUGAAUUCAUCACCAAUUAGCUUGGAUUCAUCAUCAAUUCACCUAGAUUAAUAGCAAAGGUGUUUUAACUUCAUUUGAGAACAUUUCAAGUUUAUAAUGAUCCAAUAGAUAAGUAGUUUGAAUGCAAGUUUAAAUUGGAUUUCUAUUCUAAUAAGCUAAUAUAAUUUGCUUUGUGCUUAUGUGCUAAUAAAAACUUAUAUACUUAUAUAAAUUGAUAUGAUUUAUAAUUUAAUAUAAAUAAACUAAAUUUAUGCUUAUGCAAGCUACUAUAAUCCUUUCAUCUAAACUCUCAUUGUUCAAUAUCUAUGAAUAUUAAGUAAUAUGUCUUGGUAUAGAUGGAAAUAUUUAUGAUUAUAUUUCCAACAUCCUCUACAUUUAUGCCCCUAAACAUUACAUGCAAUGCCACAAGUGCAUGUACUUUGUCAUUUAUAAGAUUUUCUAUGGCUUUCUUGUAGUACGUAAAAAUAAUCAAUAUAAUAUUUGACCAAUACAAUUUGUGACGAUUGGCUAUAUAAUAUGUAAUAUUACAAAAAUAAUCAUUCCAAAAAAGGAACAAACUUUUUUUUGAACAAGUGUUCAAUUCCAUAAAAUCAAACAUAUACAUACAUAGCUAGCAUCUAAAAGCUUUCUUCAAAGACAAACAUUUGAUAAGUGGAUAUAUAAAUAAAUUAAAAAGGUAACUUAUAGAAUAAAUUAUAUUAUUUUUUUUUUUAAUUUGGCUUAUUAAAAAAAAGAAAAAAAAAAUAAAUUGGAAUUCAAGGCCUUAUAGGAACUUACACACUCAUAUUAUCAACCUUGAUUUUGCAGAUUAAUUCAUGUUGGUUAUCUAAUUUAAAGAACUUGAGUUUGAUAUUAGAAGUAUUAUAUUAGACACAAUCUCAUAUAACUAAAAUUAAUAAAUCUAAUAGCUAUAGCAAGGAAAUAUUUUAUUAAAAUAAUCCUUUAAAAUUACAAAUCUGAUCCUUACAAGUAAACUUUUCACAUAGACAAGUGUUGUUUACAAACUAUGCAACUUAGAACUAUGCUUAGUUUUAUCCACACGCUUGCAUGCACUUUCAGCAUCUUCUACUUGGCUAUUCUAGACAAGCCUCUUCAUUGGCAAGAUCUCAUACAACAUCAUUCCAUGCACCUAUACAAAACACAAUACCUCAUCCUCACUAAGUUGGCACAAUCUUCCUUGUUUGAACAUAUUAUUGAACUCCUUCUUUAAAUUCCUUAGUUAUACUAGUAUAGAAUUAUAUUACCUACCAUAGUAGUAUGCAAGGCUAAGAUUCUAUUAUCAUUUGGCCAUUAAAAGUUAUGAAGAUUGUGUAUCCAAAUCAAUCAAUGAUAAAAUAGCAAAAGAUAAAAAGAGUGGCAAUCAAAAUCUUAGGAAAGAUCUCAAAAUCUUGCUUCUCAAAUUGACCAUAUCAUUCCUAUUCAAAGACGUUGAAAAUGGUUUCACUUAUUUUAUAUUAUAUCUAAAAUUAAGGUUUAAAAGAAUUACACACUCAAAGCAAUUGACAAUAGAAACUUACUUAGAUAUUGAUAUUUAAGCAACAAAUUGCUAAAGCCAAAGUUUAGUAGCAUUUUGUGAAUCUAGUCUUUUUGAAUUAAGAGCAUUUUAGAAUCUUCAAGAAUUUAAAGAAUGCAACAAUUAAAGUAUGAUUUUUUUUUUAAAUGGCUUUUUUAAGAACUUGCAAGUUUUCAAGAUUCUAAGAUAGAGCAUACUCAUCCAAAACUUGGUCUCAAAUAUCUACAUUUUGAUUAUCCAAUACAUCUAGUUUCAUAAAGUGAAAAUGAGAAACCAAAAAAGACAUGAAACAAGUAGCAAGAUUGAAGUGUAAUCUGUUUAUAGAUUAUGCUCAAAAAAAUAGCAAUUCCUUUUGAAGAAUAUUUGAGGAAGUCAGAGUGAGGCAUCUCAAUGCUGCAUUAGAUAAGCUCAAUAGUGCUCUUAUAAUUUACAAUGAAGAUUUGAAUAUAGAGUGUUGUAUUACAAGGCAAGUCUAUAUUGAAUUUAAUUCUAUUCAAUAUCAUUGUUAUCACUAGCAAUGCUUCAGCAAAUAAUACACAAUGCAUUAGUAAAAUAUCUAAGAACAACCAUCCAUGAUUAAUCCAAUUGAUCUUCUAAUAAUAUUUGUAGUAAUAUGUUGCAUCUUAACAAUUUAUUAUCCAAUUUUGGAUUCAUAUAGAUAUUGUUGUGAUCAAAUAGUGAUAUUUUUUUUUUUGCAGUUUUGAUUAAAAAAAAAUAUAUAUAUAUAUUGAAUUAAUGGCUAGCCAUUAAUUUAACAUUCUUCCAUAUUUAUAUCUAUAUCUAUUAAGAUAUUAGUAUAAUAAGAUUUGAAGAUAAAUUAUAUAAGUAAUAUUAAUAAUUUUAACAUAUUUUUUAAAAAAUAAAAAUAUAUAUAUAUAUAUAUAUAUAUAUAUAUAUAUAUAUAUAUAUAUAUAUAUAUAUAUAUAUAUAUAUAUAUAUAUAUAUAUAUAUAUAUAUAUAUAUAUAUAUAUAUAUAUGUUUAUUCUUAGAUUUUAUAAAAAUUAUCUUUUGGCUUUAUUAAUAAUUAUUAAAUACUCAAGUUUCAAUAAAAAUAUGCUUUUAUUAAAAAUUUAGAAUAAAUAAUUAUUAAAAAAAUCUAUUUUUAUUUAAAUUAUAUUUAGAUGGUAGAAAAAUAUUUAAGAUUUUAUUUUAUUAUUAGUGGUAGAUCUUAAUUAAAAAGAAAAAAAAAUCUUAUUUUAAUUUUUUUAAAUCUUACAUUUAAUUCAUCAAAUUUUAUUAUCAAUUUAUUCAUCUAAUGCAAUACUCUACAAUAUCCACAUUGUAUAUUCAUACUUUUGACAUUUUGGUGUUUUUAAUUAUUUAAAUUUAAAUAUUUUUUUAAUAAUAAAUUGAUAUUUUAUAUACAUAAAUAUAUACAUACAUAUUUUCAACAAUGAUUUUUCUUGUUGUUGGAUAUGUUUUAUUCAUAAUUCAAUGUGUUCUUCUUUUUAGUAUAAUUGUGCUACUUCUACUAAAUUUCUUCAUCAAUCAACUAUGUUAUUUAGUUACUUCUUAUAUAUAUAUAUAUAGAUAUCUUAUAAAUGCAUGUUACUCAAGAUCUUUAGUUAUUAUUACUUUUAGAUUAGAAAAAACUAAGAUUGAAUUCGGACUUAAAAAAGAAAUAAAUUUAAUUUGAUCAAAUAAGAGUUCAUUAAUUUUAUUUAUUAAUAAUAAAUAACACCAAAAGCAUUGUUAAAAAAAUAUAAGAUUUAAAAACUUACACAGGUAUUGUAAUAAAAAUCAAAUAUAUAAAUAUAUAAAUAUAAAAAAAAUAACUAUAUUAAAUUUUAUAUGUAGUAGUCAAAUAAUAAAAUCCAGUUCAAUCAAUUUAUUAGUUUUUUUAAAUAUUUUAACUUUGUAUUUUAAAAAAAAUUGCUUGAAAUGUAGAUUGCAGUUUUUUAUUUUUUAUUUUUUAUUUUCUCUAUCUUCUGUUCUUUCUCUUCCCCCUACACUUCAACCAUCUUUUGGUGUAUAUGUGCAUAUAUUCUCCUUGUGUAAAUGCUUACUUUUAUCAUUAAUAUCUUCUAAUAUUGUUACCAAAUUAAGCAAUAUUUUUUAGCAUGAUAUAUAUAAAAUUUGGCUAAAUAGGCACUACAUAUAUAUGUAGAAAGCAACAACUAUGCAAAUCAAGUUUCUUGCUUAAAAAUCAUCUUCAAUGGCAGCUUCACCAAACUUCUUAUUCUAAUUAAGAAAGAAAUUUUUUUCAAGACAUUAUAAAAAUUAAAUUAUUCAUCAAAGUAUUUAUUUGGUUGUAAAUCAAGAUAAUAUUUGAAUUGAAAAUGAAUUAAAAUGUAAAGAAAAAAAAAGAUACACAUAUAUCUUACUUAAAAUAAUAACAUAUGUAUUAUUGAGAAAAACUUUGGACAACAAUAGAGUAUAUUAUUGCUUAAUAUGUAAAAUUUCCAUAAAUAAUAUGAUUAUAUCUUAUUAAUAACCUUUAUAAUUUUUUUUGUAUUUUAACCUAAAUUUUAAAAACCAAAUACUAAAAAUUUAAACUUAAAUAUGUUAAACCUUUUAUAUAAGGGCAAUGUUUCUUUUAUAUUGUUCUUAUAUACAAUAUAUUUGAUUUUGAUAUAAGUAUAAAAAUAGACACAUAUAAAUCUUUAAUCUUUCAAAAAAAUAUAUAAAAUAUAUCUAUUUUACUUUUAUCAUGAUACUAAUCAAAAUAUUUUAUUUUUUAGAAAAUCUAAGAUGAUAUCUAGUAAUUGGUGUUGAUUAUUAUAGAAUAUAAAAAUCUUUUAUAAUUUUGAUAUGUAAUUAGGUAUAACAUGUAGAUAUUUUUGUAAAUAAAAAAUUAAGAUCUAAUAUAUUUACAAGUUUUCUAUUUUCAGUAAGUGAUUGUUUUAUAAUUUUAUUGGGCAGAAAUUUAAAUAACAUGUAUUUAAAUUAUAAAAACACCAAAUAAAACAAGUUUUUUUUAUUUACUUUAUCUUUUUUUAUUUGCUAAUAUAUUGAUUAUGCAAAAAAACUAAAAUAUUUAUCAAUCAAAACUCCUUGUAUAUUAUAAAAGUUUGAGAUAAGCAACACUUUAUUUCACAAAUAUUUGAACACUUUAUGUCACAAAUUAUAUAUAAAUAGAAUAAAUUUUUAUAUAUUAAUAGAAUGUGAAAAAAAUACUAUCAUUAUUAGAAAAUUAAAACUAAAAAAUAAUGAUAGUAUUUUUUUCACAUUCUAUUAAUAUUAAAAUAAUGAUAGUAUUUUUUUCACAUUCCAUUGAAAUAACACUUAAAAGCUACAAAGCUUUCUAAUUUACAUGUGCUUAAAUUUGUCACAAAAUAUGUUUAAAAAAAAAAAAACAAAACAAAACAAAACAAAACAAACAAACAAACAAAAAUUGAGAAGUUAUACAUGAAUCUAUAUUUUUCCAUUGCUAAUCAAAAUUUUAUCUCCAAAAAAUUCUAGUUUUCAUAAUUAAAAAAAAGGAGAAAAUAUCAUGCAUACCUCUCAAAUAUGUCGAAAUAUCAAGAAUACCCCUAUUUUCUUGAUAAUAGCAUAUAUACCUCUAAAUUUUUUUGAUAAUAGUAUAUGUACCCUCCACCUUGAUAAGGUAUUAGAAAUCUGACAAUUCCACUAAAUGUGCCAAAAAAAAAAGAGGGUCCCGCAAAGUGUGCACUGUCGGGCAGAUUGGAGAGUGCCGCAGCUGCCCGACAGUGCACAGCGAGCGGCUCUCUCCGCCCGGAGCAUCCCGCCCACCGUCCCCUGACCAUGUGUCAGCACUGUCCUUGGACGAAACUACACUCUGUGCAACCUUAUUAAUCUCCUCCACCUUGCCUCCGGAGACGCCAUAGCACCUACCAGCGCUUGUGCUCGCUCAAGCUCUUCGCCCUCUUUUCUCAAAAAACCUUAACUACUCCCUUCUAACACUGCACUGACUGGUAAGGAGAGUGAGUAGGGCACGAGAAGAGAGGUAAUCAAUGUACGUUUCUGACGCUCUGAGUCAGUGAUCCCUCUCAUAUGUCCAAAUUGAGAACUGGAUUGUCGUCCUCAAUUUCCUGCGUAAGGAAUUCAUUACAGACAACCAGGGUGUAGCUUAUUCAAUGAUGCGCGAAGAAUGUUCCUUCUAUAUCCAGCAACAGAGAAUGUCGAUAACCACACUUCACAUGAAGAUUUGUCUCGUUUGGUCCGCAAUGACCAUAAACCACCAGAGGAUGGCCAGACAUUGUUCACAGUGAGGAUUCAAUUCACAGUCACUUGCUUCACGUGGAGAAAAGAAAAACAGUUGACCCAAGAGAAUACACGGAUUCUGCCUGCGUUCAAUUCUCUGCGUUCUAUGAGCUGAAUGCUUGCAUGGACCAGCCUUUUCAUACGAUUAGUUAUUUAACAGUUCAUUACAAGCAUCAUUAUCCAUUUGUUAUGGAUCUCAUGUUUCCCACCCAUUGUUUGAGAACGUUGGUCAAAAAGGUCCAUUUUAGUACUUCGAUGUUGAGGGGUUUCUGAAUUCUAAAACUAAUUUUUAGCAACAAUGCAGAGCAACAAAUUCCCAGGUGAUAUCUGCUAAAACCUUCCUAACAACGCAUAUCACGUGGUGAAACUGUGAGUCUUUGUGGACCUUGCUGGAAGAGACUGUGAUGAUUUUGAGUCCCAGCAAAUGUGAUAGAACACAAUGAAAAUAAUCCACUUAAAUUAAACGAUCUAAACUCAAAUCUAUACAAUGUGAAGUUCUCCUUGCGGUUUCAAGUUCGGGUUCCGUCGAGGAUUCAUGUCAACACACGAGAUGGAAGCGGCGUCCUCGUCGUCUUCACAUGUGAGCCAUUUUGCGGCUUCAGGAUUCUUAACAUCAAUUUCGAGGUUAAGAACCGGCCAUGAACCACCAUUGUGAUACGACCAAGCUCAGCACACAAUCCACAAUGUGCAUCAGUGUAUUCUUACAUGCUAGAAUGAAGGAAUUACUCCAAGGCAUUUCCCAAAGUAAACCAUUGAAAAUCUGUGUGCGCGGGUUGCAAGUUCCCUAUGAAAUAGCCUCCCUGCUCUAGCAACCAGUCAAGCAACCACUGGGGUUCUCGUCCGCAGCUGGAUGGAGAGUUGUCGAAAUUCUAGAGUUGUCACAAAAGCAAGAUGUCAGCGGCAGUUAAAGAAGACACGAAUUCGUGAGUUAAGCCUUCGGAAGCUGUUCCAUCCUACCUUAAUGAGGUUGCACACAGUGUAGUUUCGUCAAAGGACAGUGCUGACACAUGGUCAGGGGCACGGUGGACGGGAUGCUGCGGGGGGAGAGAGCCGCACGAUGUGCACUGUCGGGCAGCUGGGGCACUCUCCAAUCUGCCGGACAGUGCCCACUAUGCGGGACCCCCUUUUUUUUUUUUAGCCCAUAAGAAAAACAUAUUAAUGGAAUUGUCAGAUUUCUAAUACCUUAUCAAGAUGGAGGGUACACAUACUAUUAUCAAAAAUUCCAGGGGCAUGUAUGCUAUUAUCAAGGAUAUAGAGGUAUUCUUAAUAUUUCGACAUAUUUGAGAGGUAUGUAUGAUAUUUUCCCAAAAAACAAGUUAUAACUUGUAUACAAUUUUAGUAAGUAAAACCUUCAUGCUAGAUACUGAAUUUUCAGCAAAUAUCGAGUUAAUUCUAACUAAUACGGUGUAAUUCGAUACCACGCAUAAUGCUUAUCAGAGUAUUAUGUGUAUUUUACAGUAUAGAGUAGAGCAGUUGAGCUGCGGGUCGAAGAGGGCCUGGAGCUUGUUUCCUAACCGUCGCAGGUGGAAAGAGCUGCGGACGAUGGCUAUGGCGAUGGCGCCAAGGGAGCACAAAGCUCUUCCAUCGAAAAAGGUUUGUAGAAUGCUCCCCGCUUGUGUAGUCGUCUGGCAUUGUCGUUCACAGCGACAACAACUGAUUAGGGAUGUCGGGAGGAUGUCAGGUAGCUAAGUCUCGGUCUUUCUGACGCUCUCAUCAUGCUGUUCAGCCAUGGCAUCGAGUUUUAUGCGAUCGUCUUCGACAGGGCCGAUUUCGUUGUGGGCUGACUGGAGCUUGAGGUGGCAAAAUCGCGCGAGGUUUGUUGUCUCAUCGUCUUGUUCUUCAACUUUGUGCAGCUUAGAGAACGACUGAACAUCUUUCUCUCUCGCAGCGAUGCUAUCUUGUGGAUUGAAGUUGAUGUCGAGCGUAGGUGUGUGCGAUGGACAUGGCUUCUCUUGAUGUACUGGUACAGUAGUGGUAGCAUGGAUCUUCAAAGUCGUUAACAUUGUAGGAUCUUCGUAAGAGGUUGUGGAACUUAAUGAAUGGCUUGUACACUGAAGCCAGAAGCCGCAAUAAUCAAUCUCAAUGUAGCCUUCUGGAUUAGAUAUCGGACCGUAGCUUGACAGAUCAUCCCCCGCCCAUCCCCCGCUCUCGUUCACUUCUGUUGAGAAGAAUAGUGAGUUGGGCAUUGGAGACCACAUUGCGACUGAAUUCACCUCUUUACCAUUCCAGUACCAUUUCAAACCCCCCGGUUGAUGCAACACUCCGAAAGUCGCCCAUGCUGAGGAGGCGACAGGGAGAUUCAUCAAUUUGUACGCACUCGAGCGAUGAUUGGCGCCAUAUCCACCCCAGUGCACCGCUGUACUCCCUUGCGUAGAAAUGUCAUUCCCUCCGCUGUCUUUGGCCCGAUGCUCCACCACGUCCACUUCAAUCCCGCCGACUAUUUCUCCAGGCGGUACAGCGUCGGACACCAUCGCUUCCGGCAGCAGCCAAAACGCGCUAUGCAUCCCCGACGCUCCCUUGAACCUGCAGCGCGACUCGUAAUAACCAUAACCAAAUUGCUGCUUCGUGGCCAAGCGAUCAAUUCUGUGGAACCAGUCGGACCAAACGCUGACACGCAGAAUUGAUUUUCCGCGGCUCGUGUCUUGCACUAUCGACGAACAUGCCGGAUCCCAGUGGAUCUCUUUGUUGGACGCUGCAUCCCAUUUCCACUUACCCUUCCCCAUAGGAUGCCGAAAGUUCGUGUCUAAUGUGUAACCUGAUCCUGUGAAGUCGUCCCAGAACUUAUUCGUCCAUCGGUUCCCAGCAGUUGGUGGAAUAGAUGGCUGAUGAGUCAUGCUCAAGGCCAAUGCAGUUACAAUGUCGCAAUAGUUAGCUGCCAAACCUCUGCCUUCGACUGAUUCCUAAGGUCGGAUUCUUGCAGUGUGUUCUGCAUCACUUCAAACUAUUUCUUCAGUCGCUAGCUACUCAAUUGAUUGCAGUUCAAGUACGUAUUCCAUACAUCCGCUGUGAAUGAAAGCCUUACCCUUAUUGUUCAAUCCACGCCACCUGUAUUAAAUUCACAUGCUUCCUUUGGGAACAACCUAGCGCUGCAACAGAUUGUGAAAUUUGAUUUCACACCUCAUUACUAACUGACAUUCUGUGAUAGUAGUUAGUUCUACCCAAUGAAAUUCUCCAUUCCUAUGUCUCCUGAGAUUCCUUAUCGAUCGAAAUACUCUUCUAAACCUUUCUAUUUCCCUUUUGAUCGGCCGAGAUUUGUGUUCAAGCUUCUCUGUGUGCGACAUUUAGGACUGUUUCCUGCGGUAAUUAUUUCGACGACGGCGGCUUUGGAUCGACCAUGGCAUGGGCAGGUACAGUUACAUUAUAUCAGCACUUAUCGUAGUGAAGCGAUGUCUUUAAUACCACAUUUGUUGCUGACAAUCGUCGAGAGUUUGUGAAGGUAUUCAAAACCUGGUCGAGAUCAUGUUGAAAGCUCCAGACUAGAUUUUAGAUAAGUUUCGGAUAUGAAACGCUGUACCAUACCAAUCACUCUGAACUCAGAAACCUCCUCAAACUUAGAAACUCAGAAACCACCUGACUUCGAUUACUGGACCUUUCACCCGCCUGAACCUGUAGCAAUUCCCAACAUUUCAGAAUCACUUUAGCCAUCUAAAGCAACGAGAGCUCGUUUUAUCAAGUUUGCAAUGUGAGAAAGACACCUGCAAGUUUACCACAAUUUGCAAAUUGGCGUGUGAUAUUUUACACCAUGUAACGCUAAAGGGUAUUGGCCCCAAGUUGUGAUCAGUAUUUCGGCUCCUUUGUGAUCAUAGAUUUAAGCAGUUGCCGUGAAGAUAUGCAGAGGAUAGCUUCAAUUGGAUAGUUUGAUAUUGUGUAGCACCAAAGGCAACCCAUGGUUUUGGUGCUCUUAGACGUACAGUAUGUUGCACAAAAGCAUGCUUGCUAGUGAUUGCUCUUUCUUAUUUUGACAUCAGAAUUUUCUAACCGUGGAAAACUUGGAGAAUCCAUCCGUCAGCUAAACAUUGUUCAGUAAGUUCUGAAGACUCCCUCAUCUACUUCAGCAUGUUUUGAUCCGCCCAAUCUCUAAUGUACCACUAGAUAGGUUUCAGAUGUUGCACCAGAUGCAAAACGUACAUGUCGGAGUUCCGUGUAGGCCGCUCAUUAAAGUCAAUUGAAAUUAUUGAACCGAAUAAGAGACUAUAUACAUGAGGCGUACACAGUUACCAUAAAUGUUGGAAAAGGGUAGUAAAGAGUCUUCUGUCGGUCGAGAGCGAUGGUUCCGAUGCUUUCGAUCCUACGUAUGCAGUAGAAAUGGAUUAUUGCUCAAGAAUUCCAGCAGCUCUAGCGUUAAAAUCACAUAUUUUUUCAAAAUUUGAUAAUUUCUGUGUUGAAGACGAGCACUUGUAAUCUGUCACUAACGGCUUCAUCGACACUGCGGACAAAUUCGGCCAGCGACGGCUUGGGAGUCGGCGAAUUCUGAUAUGCUUCUGUACGUGAGAUACAUCCCCAGACGAUGUGAAAAAUCGUUACCACCGAACAUGCAUACGAUUUGGGUUCGUGAUCUCAAAAUGACUAAAUCCGUGCUGGCCACGGAAGCGUCAGCUUCUGAAAGAAAAGACAACUUCCACAACCUCACAACUACUUCCUCGAUGGCCUCUGCUACCUAAUAAACGAAUCUUAUCCUACUUAAGUUCCUGGACAAAGCAUUUCACAUGUGUACUGCAGCGAAGACACGUGAGGCGGUGAAGGCAAAUCUACGUGAAGACAGGUAAGUGUGAACAUCUGAAACCUACCACAUUAGCACAGAGAGACAAAACGAUGCAAAAGAAUGGGACGUCUUUGUGCAGGGAGGAGCUGAGUUUUACAGCCCUGCCUUCUGUUAAUUUCAUAUCAAGAAUAAAAACAGGCAGUGGAGACGAGAUAAUCAUUUUCGGUAGUGUACAGCUGAGUUCAAAGGUGCUGUUAAAAGGAGAAAGACCUACGUCGUUUCCACAUAGAAUUUCAGACUGAGAAUGCGGUUCAGAGUGCAGGAAAGGGGCAGUAAACCAUGUGGGUAUCCAAAAUUGACUAUUCUGCGUCUUCUAUGAGAAGUGAUGUGACCUGAUAUACAAGGUGCGAAAAUGGAGAAGCACCCAACAAACUCAUCUAUAAUGUACACUUUCCCAUUGACUCCCUGAAGCAGAGUUACUUCGAAAAAAUCAGGGCAAUGGCUUUAAAUGUAGAGUGAGUUGGCGAAGACAAUACCGCGUCGUAUACUUUCACUUCCAAGCGCAAAUUUAUUUUCUAAGUCUGGAUUUCCAAUUGCUUGGGCAGCACUGCGUAGCUGAAAGAUUCAAGCCAUAAUUAAAAUUUAGGAACCAUGUUUAGCCACAAAUUAGAAGAGGGUGGAAGACGGGGACUCAAACUUGAAACCAGUCUUAAGUACAAGAACUAAAACGACGUUCCAAACAGUACAGUUCGACUGUUGGAACUGCAUAGCAGCAGUUUUCAGAGACAUACCUGGUUCAGGAACUCGUCAAGCCUGCGAGCAGCACGUAUGAUGCUACCUUCAAAAAUGUCGGUCAUCUCACAAAUUUCAGAGAACGAGGAACCCUUCAAUGUCACAAUAAAUACAAGUUAGAAACCAACCUACAAACAAAAGCUACACCGUAGUCGAUUGAAAAAUGCAUUACCUGCAGUCCAAAUUCGGCUUAACAAACAGAUCAAGUACCAAGAAAUUAAUGACAACGUGCAAACUGAUGGAUGAGACAUGAAAAUUCUUGUUCUAGAGUCGAAAUGCUGGAAUAUGGUCACAAAUAGGAUUGCAAACCUUUGACCAGCUAUAGAUGACAUCCAUCAAAUAUGGCUUGAAUGAUUCCGCAUAUUCUUCAACAUCAAUCUCCAGCUUGCACUCUUUUUGAAUCUGACAAAUCACCAAACAGAAUUAAAUCGUCGUAUUACAUUUGCACGAUUGACAGACACUAAUAAGAGUAGCGAAAUCAGAUACCAAAAGCUUCAAAAAGCCUAUCAAAAGCACAUUAGCAAAAUACACAUACCUCAGCAAGUUGUUUAGCUGUUUCCUUAAGCUUUUCUAGCGGAUGUGCAAGCUCAUUCGUCAAUCGUACUUGUUCAUUCGAUUUCUCAACUGGAAGAAAACAGCUUGCUAUAGCAACAACUUGAUGAUGAUCUAUGUCAUUAAACAAACCUGCUCCAAAAAAUGCAACGUUUUUAGGAAAUGAACACUAGAGAAACAAAAUAAUCAAUCAAAAGGUGCAAGGCGAAAAGAUGUUACCAUUGAACAUAAGCUCGGUUACAAGUAGCUCAUCGGCAGUAUCUAUAAGACAGGCUGCACGACCCUUUGUUUGCACCACGCCAUCACCAUUUAUAUGGCCAAGUCGUUUCAAUACCCUUGACCUAUUCUUCAAUUCUUCCCUAAAUUUUUGCAGCUGUGAAAGUAGGAAUCUAUGUGUAAGAUAACUUCAUAAUACAUUCAUUGUUCUCAACACAAUACAGUGCUUUGAGGCUAUUAGAACCAAAAGAACUGUACAAACUACGUGAAACAACUUCUCCAACAGGACAAACUGCUUGCCAUUUACAAGAGUAAAUAUUUUCUGUGUGCAAACCUGGGAUUCUCGCAUCCUAAGUUUCAACGCGUCAAUCUCGACCAUAAGUUCCGCCUUCCUUUGAAAAGAAGCAAAACAAUCUGCCUCUUUCUCUGACUACAGGAUUCAAAAACCUCAACGUUACCAACAGAUAGCCAUAACAGAAACACCGAAAUAAAAACGAAAUUACAUUAUUCGUCCUCCCAACUACAUCACUACCACAUCUGCAAACACGGAACAUCCCAUUUGUGAUCAUCGCAAGAAACCAAUAAAACUUGUACACAAUAAUUCCUAUGGUUUUCAAUCCAUACAUAUGUGAAUUUGUAAUGAAUGUUUUGUAGAUAACGACCAGUUUUUGACUUAAGGCAACAAUACAAGUGGUCAACAUAUAAAAAUGUCUUCUUUAAGCAUUUCCAUAAGCUCAGUAGAUAACACACCUGGAAAAGAGGGUGAGAGACCAGCUUCUUUUCUUCCACCUCAAUUUCCUUAACAAUCUUCAGAAAGUCUUCAUCAUCAAUGCCCAUAUCCUAUAAGUCAGAACCACAUAUUACAGAUAAGUGAUAAGGAUCCCUUGGAGCAAGGCAAACGAGGAGGUUUUGAACCAAAUAAAUUUCCGAAGUCCAUCCAGAUGUAACUACGGGUGGACAGAUAAAAAACUUAAGGGUUAGUUAAAUUACAAAAAUGCUAAAAUUAUAAGCAUUUAUUCCAUCCUAAAAAACGACUCACACUAUGUCAACCCCUUUUUCGGGACGAAAUCUCACCUCAACAGGAUCAAGCUUGGGAAAACCAUCAGGAAAACGACGUUCGAGUUCCUGAACAGCCAUUAGAACACUUUGUCGAGCCUCUGGAGGCCUUAGAUCCCGUGGAGCUGCAACUCUUAGAGUACUUAUUGCACAUAUCAGCGGCAUGCGUACUGGGACCUUCAUAACCACCCGUGCGAACAUUUAGAUUGGCAUUAAUUGCCAUCCGUGGAAUAACAAACUCUAAAUAGACGACUUAUAGGUUUCACUGAGGCAAGCAAACUAAAACAAAUAAGAAGACACUAAAGCACACACCCAAAAAAAGAUUUUACUUCAUUAUUAAAAUUAUAUUGUAUGCACACACAACAUAUUCAACAUCAAUGACGACUUCAAAUAAGUUAUUAUUGUAGCAGGAAGCAACAAAAACUCUCAUACCAACAUCAAUGCUAGUGAAAGCAGCAAGCCGUAACUCGCAAGAGCCUGAGAAAGUUAUCUUGUGACACAACUAGAAGCUCUUACCACAUGCAUUUCCCCUUUUUCUCCUGGAGGACAUGGUCUCGGUCUGGGCCGUUUCCCUUCUUGAAUUACUCCUGACGCGCAGUGCAGGAGAAUAUCUACUAUAUAGGAACUAGCUGGAUCGGUUGCCAACGCAGAAGAAAUUGUUCCUUGAUUGGAUGUAGGUUUUUUCACUACAUGUACGACCACUCCCCAACCCCACUCAUCACUUCCAUCCCUAAUUUUAACCUACACACAAAACAUGCAGGAUUAAAUUUCGCUUCGAAGCCUGACCAAGCGCUAUCAAAAUGUUUGCAAGCAAAGUAAGUCAAAAACACAUAGGUUCAUACCGCUAAAAUGUAUGCACAACCAAAACAGUACAUAACUCACAAUGCUUGAUUAACGACCAAAACUAAAAACUUUAGAUUCAGUAACUUGAAUCAUCUAGAGUGUUUAUUGAGAUGUACAGAAUGCAUGGGCAAAAACAUGUGAAUAAAAUAAAUAAAUAAAUAAAUUUUAUUUUUAAAUUUUAAAGAGAGAAGAAUGGAUCUAAAAAAGGAGAUGAAGUAGUACCAAUCGUCCAGGUUUCAUGAACAGCAGAACACGCUCAGGGCGCAGAACCUCUGCCAUCAUUUUCUUUUCCAGUUGAGCAAGUUUUAAUCUUAAAGAAUGGUACUCUGCCAUCGAUGACUGCAGUCAUAAUAACCAGAUCAAACAACCUCACUCUACAUAACAUGUCAAAUUCUUGAUCCAUGUACCUUGAAGGCUUCAUGGACUCCUUGCAACUUCAUUAAGGCAAUCUUUUAUCACAGAAAGUAUUCCCUACGAUAGAGCACCAGGACAGAAUUUUGCCCAAACCAGAUAGACAGAUAGAAAGCAAGACUGCUGGACUAACAUAUUCCACACAUGGAAAACUGUACACAUUCGCACUUCCUUAUUUGACAUACCUCUCCCGCAGAAUCGAUUUUCGCGACUUCAGCUUCCAGAGUUUUUAUGUUCUCUUCAACCUUGGGCAAUGCCUACAAACCAAACAUUACAGGUAAGUACAUCAUUUUGAAGCAUCACGUACGCCAUGACCAGAGAUUUCAAUCGUAACAGUUAACACACUGCUGCACGAAGGAAAAACUACAGCCAACAGAAAGGCCUAACAUACAACUAAAUCAAAAUCAAGGAUUACCUUGUCAUGCUGGAACUGGUGAAAUGAAUGACGAAUCACAUGCUCAGAAUUAAACUGUCCUUCAGCCCGACUCAUGAGAUUAAGAAGUGAGUAGUAACUGAGACGGAAUGUGCUAACUAAAGGAGCUGCAGUCCCUUGUAUCAUCUCUUGACAUGUUUUCAUUUCCAUCUGCACAAUUAACCACAAACUUUAGGUCCCAGUAGAAAGUUCUAGAUAAUAAUUCCAAGAUGCCAGUGAAAGAUAUACUACGGACAAAUCAGGAACAAAACCACCAAAACCGCAGAGGUCGUUUUAGGAAAGCUCUCCAACCUACUGUGACAAAAUAACUGGAUCCAUGACAUGCAAGAAGCUAACAAUGACAAGUCAUACCUGACUGUCUAUCAUGAUUAUACAAAUUCCACGCAAAUCCUUGCCUCGUCGUCCUGCUCGACCACUCAUCUGUUCCAACACAAUCAGCAUACGAUGAAUACGCACACAAACAUCCAACUGGAACCAAACAUAGAACAUGAAAAAAAUUUAGUAAAGCACACAAUAUUUCCACAUGAAGAGUGAAACGAAACCAAAAGUUUUCGCAGAAGUAACAUACGAGAAAAAACAAAUCUUUUCCUACCCAGGGUUUUAACCUCCACGUAGAACUGUAUCUUAUAUAUCACCAACGACCCAUAGUACAUAUCAUCGUAAGUUACACAGAAUCGAAAGGACCUGAAUGUAUUCUCCCGAUGACAUCCAUCGAUGGCUUUGCCCAUCCCAUUUGCGAACAUUCGUGAACACAACUGUCUUAGCUGGCAUAUUUAAUCCCAUAGCAAACUGAUACAUUGAGGUAGGUCAACAUUAGAAAGCAUCAGCAUGAAAGCUAACCUGAACAGUGACAAGCGUACAAGUAUACAGGCUACCAUCACCCAGGUGUAGAAAGUAUUGCAACAAAGGCUAGAGCAGUGGGCCAUAUAUGAUGAACAUAGUAGAGUUCAAUUAUAGAAUGAUGCACAAUCAUGUUGUCUCCAUGACUGACACCAAGGAAUUCAUGAUUCAAAAAAUAACAGUGAGCACAAUAGUCAAGAGAUUUUACAAUUCCAAACUAACAUAAGCGUAAUGUACACGAAUAUCAGCAACAUUAUGAAGUAUACGAAUACAAAGUGAAGCACUUACAGUUUCUGUAGCAAACAAUGCCUUGCAGAGGCCCUCCUGAAACAUAAGUUCAACAACCUCCUUGAGAAUAGGAAGAAGACCAGAAUGAUGAACACCAAUGCCUCGUUUCAACAGUGGCAAAAGAAGAUCGAUUGCCGGAAGACUUCGAUCUUCCUCACUAAGCACCUCAAUAGCUUUCUUAAAGAUGUCUUCGACGGCCUCUUUCUCUUCAUCAUUAUUAAAAUCCAGCUUUGACAUGGCGGUUGCAUAUUGUUCACAUUCUCGCCGACUGAAACUGAAGACAAUCACUGGCUGAAAUUUCCUCUCCAUUAUCAUCUGAAAAGCGAAGCCAACGAACGAAGUAGGAUAUUUGUAAUUUAUUAUUACAGAAAAGAUAAUAAGCGGCUGAAAACCAGAUCCCUUCUACUAAAACUUUACAUUGACAAUAGAGGGGCGCGACAACAUAGUAUGCACCUUGCCUGCCAGAACUAUUGUAGGUCAGAUAAGUAAUUCCAACCUUGAGAGCAACUCCAACCAAUUCAGACAGCACCAACAACGCAAGUUUAGCGUUUCCUUCCAACUCAUCGUAGUGCCAAUGAGCAAUCAUUGAAACUGAGGAAUACGCUUGUAGCACAAACCUCGUGUGCGUUCCUCAACCAUUUGAACAGAUUUACAAGUUUGUGAAAAACAAACAGCUCAAAGAAAAUUUACUGGAAUACCUUCACAGACUCAGACGAGUUGUGAUACCUUAACAAUUUUGCCGAUGUCUUGACUUGAGCCAGAUCCUUUGUCUCCUCCUCUGCCACCUCUUCCACCAACCCCACGCCCUCGUGCUCCACGCCCUCCACGGCCACCACGAGUGCUGGGAGGAUCUAUUUCAUUUCCACCAACUUCUUUCCUCUCAAAGGUCGCCUUUAGUUUAUUAAAAUUUUCUUCUUUAAAAUCCCCUUUCUCAUCCACAACAAGAUAGAGACCUGAACCGCCCAUAGGAAAAGCAUAAUGCUGCAAGGGCGUAGGACGAAAAUCUGUAUAUACUACAUGACAUGGCUGUUUGUGCAAGUAACAUAUCCAUUCCGCGAAUUCUGUGGCAUUAGACAUUGUGGCGGAGAGGAAAACCAUUUUAAUAGCGGGAGGAAGAAAAAUAAUGCUCUCUUCCCACACGACUCCUCGCUCUCGAUCACGCAUGUAAUGAAUCUCAUCAAAAAUAACCCAUGCAACCUCCCUCAAAACUUCUGAACCUUUGUAGAGCAUUCCUCGGAGGAUUUCUGUUGUCAUAACGAUGCAGGAAGCAUUUGGCGAGAUUGUUACAUCUCCUGUCAUUAGGCCUACAUCAGUAAAUUCCUCGCUCAACUCCCUGAAUUUCUGGUUGCUCAGAGCUUUCAGUGGAGAAGUGUAAAUAACUCUUUGCUUAUCACGAAAAGCCAUUGCAAUCGCAUACUCAGCAACAGCUGUUUUUCCUGCAGAGGUAUGAGCUGACACCAAUACUGAUUCAUCUCGCUCCAAACAAGCAACUGAAAUCUCCUGAAAAGGGUCGAGUGUAAAAGGAUAGCUCUUCGCUCUUGGACCUGUGUAGACAGGAUUGUCGAUUGUGCCAUGGAUGCUCUCAUCUUUAGAAGGCGUAAACCCUAAGGCAUGAUACAGUAAGAAGUCAAUAGAGAAACAAAUCUGUUCCAAACUAGCACCCUCUGUACCUAAGAAUGCUGCACAUAUGGACCAUUUCAAACAAGUAAAUGUAGAAUUACCAACACACAACUCGGAAAAAAGAAAAAAAAAAGGGGGGGGGGGGUGCCGAUGUUUCUGACCACGCACUGUAACGCGAGAACUGAACAACGAACCUACAUUGCCGCUAAGAAACCUCGGACUUAAACUGUACCCUUGACACAAAUUGCUUGCAGGACGGAAAAAGAAGAACAGAACGACAGUCGAUAUGUGAAUAAGUUUACAUUGAAAUAUUGAUAGAGGAAUAAAUUCAAGAACAUGCAAAGCACCAGGGAAUUAUUAAGCUCUUUAACCGAAGAAAACACAAAGCACCCUGGGUGGAAAAUGUAAAAUUUGUGUUACUAGGCAACAGCAUGAUCUGAAAACAGGAGCUAAGGCCAGGUUUAAACAUCAAAUGUCAGGAAUGAGCUGGGAAGAGACAAUUGAUACUGAGUUUGUGACUCUUUUCAAUUACCAAGCUACACAAGGGAAAAUAAUACUGUAGUAAGCAAGAAGGAUUGUCUUGACAAGUUAAACAGUGAUAGUUGUGAAACAAGCAGAGCACUGAAGUAAAAUGAGAACAAACUGUCAUACCUUAAACCCAAGGUUUUAACAUAUAUGUUCUAAGUAAGGAACCUUGAAGACGGGGUAACAGGAAGAGCUCAGAUAGCGGAAUCGCCACUGACCGUAACAGGAAAACAGUACUCAUGUCAAAAGACCUCACCGUCCAGCAAGGUUUAAAGAUUCUCAUGAAAGCUUAAAUCCUUUCAAAAUGUAGAAGUAUGCCAGCACAAAGCUGCUAGGAGUUAAUUUCGCCAUCAUGGCUAAAACUAGUGUGGAGAUCACAGAAAAAAUAAUCAAAAACCAAACAAUCAAAGAAAACUCAGAGCGAAACACAACCGGUGUCCACAUGUACUGACCUGGCGGAAGGGCAACCUCGUGAAUACACGACCUAAUAACACUACGUCGCUUCGCUUCAGGGGCUUCUUCGUCCGUUGCUUGAGCUGCGCCAUUAGUCACCGGCUCAGGAUUUUUUCUCUUCGCCGUAUCAUUCUCAGCCUCUACCGCGCCCGCCAUUUAAAACGUCCGCCUCUCGAUUCCGAAUUAUUCUACGUGCAAACAACCAUGCAACAUCCAGCUGAAUACCCGAAACGAAACCAUACGCGUUCUACCCUCUCUACAACCAAAAGCAUCGCAACCAAAAGCAUCGCAAAAGCUACAACUCACCUGAAAAUCAUGAAAUGUCUCCGGAAAAAUCCACCUCAGGAAGACAGUCGUUGCUGCCAAUCAUUCAAACCUCCGGACCGCCAAACAACUACACACCUAUACGAUCCCAGCACACCAUGAAACCGAGCCAACCUCGGAGCUCCGGAAGCGCUGAAGACGGAAAUUAGGGCUUAAGCUUCUCUCCGCGCAUUCGCUCAGACGUGACUGCAGUUUGGGAACAACAAGAUACCACCGCGUCUCGAUUGAGAACCGGCCCUCGUUUUACCCGCGUCGACCGGUGGUAAUUUUCAGGUCGGGAUCGUGGAUAUCAAACCAAUGUUCUCACAUGCAUGCCAGGUCCAGUUUGUUUCAAUCCCAGGUGCUUCCUUUACUUGGCUAACAAAACAAUCCAAAUUACGAGAUUAAUUUCUCACAAGUUGGUGAUUUUAUACUACUACGUAAAUUUAAUUUUUACGACCUUUCAUGAAAAAAUUAAUUUCUUGAAAUUUGAUUCUUUAAAUUGCAUUGAACCGUGCUUGAAACACAAAAGCUUUAAUAGAUCUGAUUUUAACAGCCAAGUUGAUGCUUCGUAUGCUUAUUAGUCAAGUCAACUAAAAGUAAAAUUCAACUCAAACUAAAAUUAAAGUCAUGAAUUCUGACGUAAAAUGUUUUUUUAAAUAUGAGAGUAAUGGCAAACUGUAGUCUUCAUAAGUUGAGGUCGACAAAAAAAAAAUUAAAUCUCUGAACUCACUCAUGGUGAAGAUUCUCGCAUAUAUAUAUAUAUAUAUAUAUGUACACCACCUUCCAAUGUCAAAGUUUCACCAAAUCAACAUUUAUAAACAAAAUAGAUGACUAAAACUGAGAGGACAUGGUGGCAAAGGUGAAAUGAGCAACCAUUACACUGCUGAUGAGUUUUGUAUUCCUACAUUAUGUACUCAUGAUGCUGCUUUUAGUUGUACAUCCGUACUUAAAAACUAUAUACUUAAAAGUAGAAUGAGAUAAAUUCUAGUUGGAAGUAAUAAAGUUGCUGCAAAAAAAAUUCUCUUUUCACUAAAUUUUUCUAAAAAAACUUGUUCAAAAAUAUUUUUCAUGUAAUGCCAAGUCCAUCAAUAAGCAGAAUUCUUCUCUUGUUGUUAUUAUUGUUAUAUCAAUUCAUUAAAAAUAUUAUUAUUUAAUUAAGAUAGACUUAGAAAAGCAUUCAAUUUAUUUUUAUUUUUGUAAAAUUUGAAUUAAGUGUCGAAUAAAGUUUUAGUAACAAUUCUAUGGUAAUGAAAAAUUAAUAAUUAAAUGUAAAACAAAUUCUACGUAAAUCCCGAUUUUUUAAAAAAAUAUUAAAUUAUGAUAUUAGCAUUUCCAUAAUGUAAACAUUGAAUAUCUAAUAGAUUUCUAAAAACUAAAGUUUUUGCAGAACACAAUCUUAAUACACUUGGUAUUUCUUUAUUAAUAAUACAUUACAUUGCACAAAGCUCCUUUAUGUCAUCUUCUAAGUAUCUACAAGCAAGAAUUGGAAUAUAAAUUGAGGAGUAAUAUACAUUAUAAUAAUUUUAAAGACCUUUAAAGAUAAUAGAACAUUAAACAUAGAUUAAAAGUAAGUACAAAGAUGAUAAUUUUCUCAGAAAAAAUUAAAAUUAUACAUUUAUUCAACAAUAUAAUCUUUACCACAACGCAUAAAUAUUGUCUGAUAUUAUUUCUCAAAAUUGUACUAUUUUUUUUCUUGUGAGAGAUUUUAUAAAGAAAAAAUCAUGUAUUUAUGCUCAUUAUAGAUAUACUUGUAAAGGUAUUUCACAAUAUUCAUUAUAAAAAAAAGCUCAAAAUUUACAUGGCAAUUAAAUAUUUCUUUAAAAAUAGAAGUAUAAUGAAUUAUCUAUCAUUUGUUUAUAGUUUAUUCUACUUUUAUAUUAUUUUCAUUAUUUUUUGUAGUAAAAUAGAUUUUUAUUUCUAAAUUUUGAAGCAUUGUCUUAAAAUUCUUAAAAUUGUCAAUUUUAACAUCUGUGGUCUUUUAUGUAUAAAUUAACUAACUUAAGAUGUUAGCACGACUUGUAUACUCUGCAAUUUGUUACUACAGUACAGAUGUUGGCGUGAGUCUCAAAAUUGGAAAAAAAUUUGAAAUAAAAAGUUUAUAACAAGAUAUAUUUUUAGAUUUAUUAUCUUGGCAUAUGUCUAUAAAGAAGUAAUCAUGCAACAAUCUGUAUUUCCAAAAUAUCCCACAAUAUUCCACAAUAAUUAAUAUAGCCAUCGUCAAGUUCACAAAAAAGUAAGAAAUACAAUGUGUGAUCCAUUGCACAUGUCUAUAUUGUUUUAUUAGGUUAGGAAUCUCUAUCUAUUCUUUUAUUUUUCUUAGUUGUUAGUGUCAAUAUCCUCUAUAAUUUUAAUUCUUUUAUAGCACAUAGUUAAAUUUUGGUCAUAUUUUUUAUGUAGACAUAAAAUAGAAUAUACUAAGGGAUCAUAUAUAUAUCAUAAGGAAUAAUUAUUGAAUAAAAAAACAUAAAUAUCUUUAUGAAUAUUUGCUAACAUUUUUUUUUAUUUUGCUAUUGAAAACAAAAAGAAAAAAUACAAAUACAAAUAGAUCUAGUGAAUAAAAUAUUUAUUGUUGCUAAUAAAAUUGUUGAUUAGUCUUUAUUUGCUCAAAAUAAUAUAUGGUAAUAAAACUAAUUUUAUUUUGUAUUUAUGACAAUAAUUAUUUAACUCUUUGAAAAAACCAUUUCUUACUAUUACACUCAUUACACUUUUUUUUAUUUUUUAUUUCAAAAUGUUAAAUGUUUGUCUUCUAAAUGUAGAAAAUUAAAAAGAGUUUGCACAAAAAAAUCAUCAACAAUAAUGUAAUGUAUAUUGUAGAGAUUGUGACAGAGUUAAUGUUUAAGAUUUAAUACAAGAAUUUGAAACCUUUAAAAAAAAAACAUUAUUCUUCUACUUGUUGCUCCUCAUCUUCUUCCAUGUGGUAAUGUGCUUUGCAGUCACAAGCUUAUUAUAAUUUUUUGCAACUAUUAUUUCCACCUACCAAUUGAUAAUUCACAUUAUGAACAAUAUGUAAUGGAGUAGAUGCAUGGUCUAUUAUUAAUUCUUAUAUGCAAAUCUCAAAUAUUAAUAAUAUCUAUAAAAAAUCUAACUAAAAAGACUAUUAAAAAAACACAACAAUUGCAAUACCAUGACACUAUUUAAGAAAUUGUAAAAAUAUGCAUUAUUGAUACAACUCUGUAAUACUUGUGAUUUUAUUUUUGGUUUGAUAUAAAUGAAUAAGGAAGCAAUUAAACAAGCAUCUAAAAUGAAAGCUUAUAUUAACACUUAUAUAUUGAUCUAAUACAUUUUUUGAAUGAAAGUUGGUGAUGAAUGGAUAUUUGUCUUUUUGAAGGAUAAAAAAACAUAGUUGUAAACAACUUUAACUGUAAUAAAGAAAAAUGAAAAUAAAAAUUAUAAAGAUGUUUGCUAUUUAUGUAUUCAAUAACAAAGGUCUUUGUUGACACUUACAUGGUUAUGAUUCUAAUUAUAUUGCAUAAAAUAGAAUCUAUACACAACUUAUGAUAUAUUAAUCAAGGUUACUUCCAGAGAUAUUUUUAUUUAUUUUCUUCUGUUCUUGCUGAUUAACUUUAAAACGUCUGCUAAUUUUAAUAGAAAGAAAUUCAUUUAUAUAACAAUUUCUGAAUCAAACUCGAGUUUGAAAAAUAAAACUAAUUAUUCAUCUAUAUUUAAACAUAUAUAUAGUAUGUGCAUCCAUUUAACUCGAAGAGCUGAGUAGUCGAAUACUUUAAAGUAACGACACAACUAACUUCAUGAUCCAGAAAUAUCGAUAAGGACACGCGUCGAGCGAUGGUGGUGAGCCACAAAGCAAGAUGAAAUGGCAACCAUGAGGGGGGGUCGCAGCCAACCGGCGGCGGCCACUUGGGCAACGCAGUGGCAAGUCCAAGUGGCACGGCGGCAGUGGCCAAAUCCCUUUUUGUUGUCGUCGAAGAGCGAAGAAGACGAACAAGAAGAAGAAGAAUGGCCUCAUGAAUUCGACAGACAGCUCGAGAAUUCAGCCAACAAUUGGGAAGAAAAGUGCGUGGCGCGUAUCAAGACGGCCAGUGGGUGCGUCGCAACGCAUUGCUGAGGGGCGUCGGAAAGAGUGUGGCAGGGUUGGCGAAAAAGACGAACACAAGAAAGAAAAAAAGGAGAAUCAGUCAACUGCGUUCGACAGCACAGUAUCUCACAAGUGGUCGAGAUCAUAUGCCAGAUGUUUAAAAGCUGGCUGCGUAGUUGUGAUGUUGAUGCAUCGUGGUGGUCACAUGUAUACUCUCCUGGGUUCGGGUUUGAUGGGGCCGGGCUAUCCUGUGGUGGUGGGAGUGGAAGAGUGUGGAUGACGAACUCUGGUUAGUAGUUUUGGUGACCAGGCGUAUUAGAUUUUAGUGGUGUUUCUGCUACUGGGUGCAAACUUUGACGCGGAGAGCGAGAGAGAGAGAGAGAUAGAGAAAGAGCUCGAGGGAUGGGCUAUUUGUGAACACUCGGUAAGAGAAUUUGAUGAUCAGGUAAGAGUUUGGUUUGGAGGAAGCUGCCGGAUGGUGUUUUUUUGCUGAUUCUGUGGAGUUCAUUGACUGCAUUUACUUUGAGAGGAGGCACUCUCAUGUUGGGUUGAGCUCCAAUUUUUGUUUUGUUUUUGUUUAGGCGAGGUUUUUCUUGGGGUUGGCGUGUUCGUUUACUUAAUAGCAAUUUUGGUAGCAAUUUGAUGGCUAUUUGGUGUCCCUUUGGAGCUAGUUUUCUCUGAUAGAGUACUACGUACGUCAAAAAAUGAAAAUAAAACAAAAAUUAGGUGUGUUAAUUGUUGUCUCCCUGGAAUGUUUUCUGAGAGCGUGUGCUAGUGAUUCGACAGUCGUUACGAGGCACGUGCAUUUUUCAUUUUCCACGGUCGGAAGACGAAAGGGCAGUAGUUUUACACCAAGAGUUCGUACUUUUACACAAUUCUGUAUGCACGAACUUACGUAGAGAUAGUAAAGAAAUUUGAUGGAGUUCUUGUAAUACAGAACUCUAUUGCUGUCCGCCACUCGCUCGUUCGACUGUGUGGUACAUGGUGGAGGGCCUAAGUAAUGUCAGAGACGUUUGGAUUUAUUCUCGGCCGUCGCAACAAGGUUCACUGAUGUAAUUGCCUUCCUUCCUACCGUCUACGAACCCUAAACUUAACAGCCCAUCCUUCGCAUGAAUUGUAGAUGAAUCCAACUGCUGCCCGGCAUCCAGUACCAUAAGAAACUCCAGUACAUGAUUCUGUGGAACUCAUUGAUGAUCGUUGCCUUUUAUUGACAGGAAAUGCUCAUUGAAGUUUAAAGGUGUACGAAAGUGGAUCGAACUCUCAGCAGCGAGCAUUGAGCUUCUGUUACUUCGAGUGUUUGUAAGAGCACUGGUGUCUUCGGAGCAAUUUUUGAAAAAAAUCGAGCUGAUUUAGGGUGGGUUUGAGGAUACAUUUAGGGACUAAAUUUACGUGAAUGUAAAGAAUUUAUGUUACAAGAAUGAUUUUGGUGCUGCAUUUGUUGAGAAUAGUUACAAUGUUGUAGCUCAUUUCGUUCUACAGUCACAUCGAUGAUUGCCUUUUAUAGUUAUUUCAUGAAAUAAUUUAGCGCAAUUUUUCAUUUCAGGUAUUUCUCUUCCGAGGGUUCAAGAUGUUAGGAGCAGGAAGGAAGAAUCCUCAAGCAGUGGGGCUUGCAGGGGUAGGUAGUCAAGUCCAACAUCGAUUUUUACGAAAAGAUUCUUCUUCAAAGCCGUUAUACGGAUUCUUACGGCUCUGCCAAUAUCAUGACGAUUUUUCUACUGGGAGAGUUAGCGUCAGUAAUAAUCCUAGGCUUGCGCAAGCAAAUCUUAGGAGAAGGCCUCAGGGUAGGAAUUUGACAAGCUCGCUACGAGAGAGUCGUAUUGCCUGCAGCUCUGAGUCCAAUUAUACCAAUGUUUUUAGUGACGUUCCAAUUGAAGUCGUAAAAUGUCUUGAAGAAGCUGAAAAUCAGUCUCUCAAGGCGGUGCAAGGAGGAGAAUCACAACCAAAGAAGCACGAGACGUCUACUCUUGAAGCUGGGACCAUUGUUAGUUCUGUCUCAACGGCACUUGAAGGGAUAUGGACUGAGGAAGAUACAAAAAAUGACCAACUUUGCUCUAUGGAGCCAGAGGUACUCAUGGCCGCUGCCGCUAAGGUUGCAGAAGCCUUGGAAAAAGAGGAGGAGGAUCAACCAGGUCAAAUGUAUUUCCACAUGCUGGAGCCUGCCUCUCCUGUAGCAGCCCCUGUUAUGAUCAGAGAUUUCAGUGAGACGAUAGAAUCGUCGGACGAUGAAGAGGAAGUGGUAGGAUUUAUGACUCAUGUAGAAGAAAAAGAGUAUAUCGCCCCUCCCGAACCUUCUGUUCUGGAAGAAGGGUCUAUAAAUGCUGCGGUAGACGUCAAGCAGCCGGAGGUUGUGAUACCUGAAGAAGAGGAGCACUUGCUAGAACCUGGAGCAGUUGCAUCAGCUCUUAUGGUCAAAGAAGUAGCAGACGCUUUGAAAACUGUGGAAGGAGAUAAAUUGUUAGCUCCUGUUCAUGAAAAGGAGUCUGAUAACGUUGCAGUUCAAGACCCCGAAGAAAAAUCGCUAAUGGAGCAGCUGAAAGAAAUUAUUGUAUUUGCUGGGCCUGCUCUCGGUAUUUGGCUAUCAGGCCCGAUUAUGGGAAUUAUCGACACGUCCGUAAUUGGUAACAGUAGUUCUUUGGAGCUUGCUGCUCUUGGUAAGUAUAAGGAUGGAAAUAUUCUUCUGCUUGUCGAGCAUUGACCGAAUUUCCUGCUCUUGUCUGGAGACAUGCGUUUGAAAGUUCUUUGCAGUAUAAUUAAUGGCAUUACGUAACAUUACCUCCAGUUCUAAAUGAAAGCUUACCAAGUUACUUCCCGCAGGAGAGAACACAACAUUCUUGUAAAUGUUUGCGUGCACAGUUUAAAUUGAAGCUUUCAAAGUAGAGCUGUUUGAGAGGAUCGUUAUGCUCGCAGAUUGGUGUUGUGGUAUUCAAGUCCUCUAGUGAAAGUUUGGUUACAUGGGCUCUUGGGGUUUGUUUGCAGGUCCAGGUACAGUUCUUUGUGAUCAAGUAUGUUACAUAUUCAUGUUCCUCUCGGUGGCGACCUCCAAUUUGAUCGCCACGUCUCUAGCUCAGAAAGUAACAUUUUCCCGAACCUUUCAGUUCACUCGUGCUGUUCUUCUCUAGAUUGAGAUAACUUAAAAGUUUGCUCAUUUCUUAGCUAUACUGUGUGACGAUACAAUACAUUAAAUCCCUGACUUUUGGAUUUCUUGUAGAACAAAGAGGAGGCAAAGCACCAUCUAUCAAGGAUGCUGUUUUUAGCCUUGGCCUUCGGAAUGGGCUUGCUUGUUGCUACAGAAGUUUUUGUCACGCAAUUACUACAAGGUGAGUAGCUUCUUAUCACUCGCAUGUCAUCACUUUUUGGUCCAUUGUGGUGAUCUUUGAAUUCGUAUUUGCAGCAUUAUGAGGUGGAACAAUAAAAGUUGGUUUGGAAGGCCAUCUUUGUCCCAUUAGUGACUGAGUAUUUGGAACAUUGUCCAGCUUUUGUUGGGGCUCAGAAUUACGAUUUGAUACCAGCAGCAAAAGUGUAUGUUCAGGUAAUAAACAAGUCACACUUGAGAAUUUAUGAACUUCGCUAGGGGCAGGUAUGCCAGGUAGAGCCAAAUAGUUGUGGGUUAACAUACACGUUUCUAGUCCACUUGAAGUUCUCUCAUCGUGAACAUUUAAAUCUUAUUGUGAGCAUUUAAUUAUGCAGAUUCGAGCUCUGGCAUGGCCUGCAGUGCUUGUUAGUUUGGUGGCUCAGAGUGCCAGCCUUGGAAUGAUGGAUUCAAAAACCCCGCUGAAGGUGCUGGUAAUCGGAAGUAUGUGCAACCUGGUCGGAGAUAUCGCACUUUGCUCAUUCCUAGGCUAUGGUAUCGCAGGGGCAGCAUGGGCUACUAUUGCUUCUCAGGUUCGUUCUAACUUUUGCAGAUGUGUACAAAAUAUUUUCUUCUCGUUUUUUAUGAAUUGUUUGUCCAAAUAUACAUGUUAUUCAAGGUUUAUUACCCCUUUUAACUUCUUCAAAAUGUAAGGAAGAUUUUAACGAGGAGAUUAUCCCUAGUGAGCAAGUUGGCAUAUAAAGCCUAAGUUGUGCACCCACUCAAAAUACAUCAGUGGGUUUGUAUUCCAGUAUGUGGCAGGAAUUCUGAUGGCUCUGUCACUUAGUAACAAGGGCUACAGCCCUUUUGAUAUAAAAGCACCUUCUCUUAAAGAGCUAGUUGACGUUGCAAAACUUACCGCCCCGCUACUUCUAUCCAUGAUAUCGAAGGUAGGCGGCAAAUCUUGAUGCCAUUCAGCAGAUGUUAUUCCAAUUCAGUUUUGCCUUCAUUGUGUUUGUUUUCUUUAGGUUGAAACGCACAAGAAUGUUGACAGCAAUUAAAGUUGUAAAUCCUUCUGUCAGGUGCUUAAAUCUCUUGCAGUUUAUGGUUUUUUUUAACUUCAAUAUAUAUAUAUAUAUAUAUAUAUAUAUAUAUUUGUAUUUGAAUUUUUUCUUGCAGGUGGCAUUUUACACAUUGGUCACAUUUUUGGCUACUUCUCUAGGAGCUGUUACGAUUGCGGCUCAUCAGGUGACUGCCGAUUCUCGCUCAACUGCCACGGCAUGGAGUUGAUUUUACUUCUGAAUUUUCUUACUUUAUUCAUUUCAUUUUUACAUUUUAUUUUUAUUUAAAAUUUUUUUAUAUUGGUUUCUGUUUCUUUUGUCCAGUUGAAAGCAACAAACACUUAAAAUGAUCUUGCUUUUCAUAUUCUACCCGUGCCAAGGAUACUGAGAACUAGCACACUAAUAAGCGGAUCUCUGUUGCAUAUGGUCUAACAGGUUAUGGUUGGAAUUUAUGGCCUUUGUGCUGUGUGGGGAGAACCUCUUGCUCAAACUGCGCAGUCCUUCAUGCCUCGUCUCAUGUAUGGUUCGCAGAAGAAUUUGAAGCAGGUGAUUCAUCUGCUCUACAGCUUUCUUAGGGAAGUUGGGUAAUUUGCCAGUGUCAUUGGCAUAUCAAUAGUUCCUACUAAUUCCAAUUCAUAAGCUUUUUUCUUUUCCUCCGCAGCCUACCUGGUUGCAUUGUAUUUUAUUUCAAGUGAAGAUUGACAUUUUUUUUGGUUUUUGCUCUUCACAUCAGGCACGGAAGCUUCUCAAACAGCUCAUGACUAUAGGACUGGUUGUUGGAACCGUCGUUGGUCUAAUAGCAGUUUCUAUACCCUGGAUUUGUCCCCAAGUCUUUACCAAAGACACUGCAAUCAUAUCACAGGUUUGAUGUCUAUUACUGCUUUAAUUUGUUUCGAGUUAUGGAUGUGUUUUGAUCAAACCAUGAUUUCGUGUUUGAGGCUACUUUGUCUAUUUGAAGACGUCAAGGUAAUACAGACGAAUGAAACAAGAAAAAACACAAUAUUCUACACUUCUGCAUGAUUUCUCUUUGCAUUUUCACAUCCAUGUGCCGCUUCUGAAGUAAAAAUACUUAAUUGUGUUAAUUUUUUAAAAUUAUUGUCCAGAUGCGAGGAAUAACAAUACCUUUCAUAGUCAGCACGAUUUCAUGUCCCCCAACUUUGUCUUUGGAAGGAACUCUACUGGUAAUGUUCCUUGCUUCCUGGCUUCUUUAUACCUCACGCAUACUUAUACUUCAGUUCUGUGAUGAGAACUGUACAAAUUUGACAAACUGAAUCACAAACUGUUUUGCAGGCUGGUAGGGACUUUAGAUUCUUGAGUCUUAGUAUGACCUCUUGCUUCAUCGGCGGCACCAUCAUGCUCCUGGUGCGUAGGAUUUCUUUUCCACUUCUAAUAUCCAGCUUAACUGUCUUAUAACAUACCUAAUUUACAUACGCUCGCCUUUUCAACAUGGGUCUACAGACACUACAUUUCUUCUUGGUCAAGGAAUUCUCAAUAUUGGAAUGUCUCAAUAUUCUAUUUCAUGUGUAUUAAAACAACACACUUGCGAACCAGUAAAGCCCUGGUGACAAAUUUAAUGUACCAUGGAGUACGAUUCGUGUAUGCAGGCCGCUAAAUCGCUAGGAUUUGGACUUCUAGGAAGUUGGUGGACACUAGCUUCCUUCCAAUGGGUAAGUUGUUCCAUCUACUAUUGAUGUGGAGCAAGAAUGUCUCCUAGCUAAAUUGAUUGUGUUAUCUGAGAAACUCUUCGUGUAAAGAAGUGCGCUAACGGUCGCAAUACUUUCAACUGGCAGGCACGCUUCAUCUUCGCCUACAUUCGCCUCAAGUCUGCAAAAAGCAUUUUGAGUGACAAUUCUCCCCUGCAAGUAGCAGCUUGAAGACAAACUCUUAUUAUUGCAACAUUUCUAAUGAAAUGAUAUCAUUAACUUCGAGGGCACUUCUCAACAAAACAUACUCAACUCGGCUUGUUCAUUAAAUCUCUGAGCUAUUAAAUGUAUAUAGUGAAGCUGAUGUAUUUAUAUGCUAUAAACGCAUGUAUUUUCAGUGUUGUUAGGCACUAGCGAUCAGCAAUGCGGUUAGCAUGAUGUUCUUUAUGUUUGUACACUCAUUUUAAAGAUUCUUGCAUGCAAUUGAAGCCAUCACGGCAGCUAUUGGAAUCUCAACAUUGUGUUUACAUCUGGUGGAUUUCAGCUCAAUUAGACUUGUAGCAUUGUAAUUGUAGCAUUGUUAGUGACUUUGUAAAAGUAAAAAAUAAUGAUUCAUCAUUAGAACUAGCUACAAAAAAAAGUUAAAGAUAUGCAAUAUAAAUCUAAAAAUUAGUAAUUAAUGUGACGAUUGUUUUUUACUUGUUAAAUAAAUUAACAAAUUUUAUUUUAAGUUUUAACGAACAUUUUUGAUAAAAUCAUUGUUCUACAAAAUAAUUUUAAUAAAAGGCUUUUGAGUUAAAAAAAUAAAACAAUGUACCUAUAUUUAUCAUAGUGUUAAUUAAACAUAUUUGUGAAUAAUUAUUUAGAAACUAAAGAAACUUGAAUAAGUAUUAAAAUUUAAGAAAAGGUUUGCUAAGACUAAAGUAGUCUUAAUCUUCCUUUUUUGUAUACUAGCAUACAAAAAUACUAUGUAGAGGUUUUAAAAUAAUCAUAAAGUUUUCUAAGUGUCUAUUUUGUAAUAACUUUUUUUUGUAACUUUUUAGACAUUAUUUUUUUAUACUAAAUUUCUAAAGCUAUACAAUACAUCCAAAGACAUGUUUUGAUUGGAUUUGUAUUUAAAAAUCUUCUCUGAUGUUUUUUUAAAGAAGAUAUUUUAUAGUUAAUCUAUCUCUAUUUAUUUUUAUUUAUUUAAAUAAUAUAGAUAUCUAUUUAUCUUCAAUAUAAUUAAUGAUAUCCGUAUAUAAUAAAAAAAGAGAAUAUAAUAUACUAUCAAAAGAAUGUAGUUGGAAAAAUAAUAAAAAUAAUUAUUAAUCAAAAAUUAUAAUAAAUUAUAUUUAAGUAUAUGAUCAAAAAAUAAUAAUAAAUAAAAAUUCAAAUCUUAUAAAAAAGUUUAAAAUUUCAAAAACAAAGAAUAAUAAUAAUAAUAAUAAUAAUAAUAAAGUAUUUCUAUAAAAAAAAUAUUUAUACAAAUUUAAAACAUGAUUUAGAAAGAAAUCUAAUCAUAAAUAAAUAAAUAAUCAAACUCAAAUUAAAAUUUACAAUCAUUAUAAAGUAAUAAAAAAUAUGAAAUUGCUUAAUUUAUAUGGCAAUUAUGUCAAGGUUGAUAUAUCUUAAUAAACCUAAGUUAGCCAAAAAUACGAAGUUGUCCAAUUUGUUUAGUAAUGAUAUCAAAGUUGAGCACUCCAACAUAUCUAAGGUAGUCAAGGAUGUGAAAUUGCUGAAUUUCUUUAGGAAUGAUAUGAAGCUUAAGUAAUCCAACAUGUCCAAGAUAGUCAAAAAUGUAAAGUUGAAUUCUUUUGGUAAUAAUAUCAAGCUUGAGCACCACAAUAUAUCUAAGGUAAUUAAAGAUGUGAAGUGGCUUAAUUCAUUUGGCAAUGAUGUCAAACUUGAGCACUUCUUUACAUUUAAGGUAAUCAAAGAUGAAAGGUGGUCCAAUUCAUUUAGUAAUGAUGUCAAACUUGAGCACUCCUUUACAUUUAAGGUAGUUAAGGAUGUAAGGUGGCUCAAUUCAUUUGGCAAUAUUAUCAAGCUUGAGCACCACAAUAUGUCUAAGGUAAUUAAAGAUGUGAGGUGGUUUAAUUUAUUUGGCAAUGAUGUCAAACUUGAGCUCUUUAAUAUAUCUAAGUUAGUCAAAGCUAUGAGGUUGCCUAAUGCAUUUGGCAAUGAUAUCAAACUUAAGCAUUCCGUCAUAAACAAGGUAGUUAUAGUUAUGAAAUUACCUAUUUUACUUGGCAAGGAUGUCAACCUUGAACGCUGACAAAUAUUAAGAUUUCUCAAAGAUAUUAGACUACUUAUUGCCUUUGGCAAUGUUGCAAACUUCCUGCAAUUGUUUAAAUUGAGCACUUUCAAUGAUUUUAAAUUUUCUAAUUUAUUUAGUAAUAUAAUUAAGUUUAAACAUCCUUCUAAAUAAAAUUCAAUAAUGUAUCCAUUUCAAAGAAUGAUUUUGGAUUUUUAUUAUUUUUUUAAUGAAAAUACAAAUUUUUAAUUAUUACUCAUUUAAGGUUUUAAAAUUUUUGAAAAUAUCUUUGUCAAUUAGCAUAUGUAUUAUUCUGUCUAAUAUUUUUUGUACCUUGCAUAUAAAUGAUAUAUAUAGCAAGAAAUCUUUUAAAUUGAUAAAAUAUUUUGUCAACUUAAAAAACAUAUGUAAUCUUUUUAAGCCAUUUUUUGAUAUAAAAUCAUCAAUAUUAUAGCUUAAUAAUUGAAGUGAUGAAAAAUAAGUACUUUUAGUUUUAUUAAAUUUGAUAUAUAGAUUUUUAUUUAAAUUUUUAUAAUACAACCUUUCUAACUAUAAAACAACAUAUUUUACCUACAAAACAUUUAGAAUAUUUAUACUAACAAAAAACUUAAGAAAUGUUAAAUUUUAUAAUAAUAAAAUAAAAUAAAUCUAUUAAAAUUAUUUUUAUAUCAAUAUACUUAUUAAAAUAAUAAUAAUAUCUAAAUGAUAUGAAAAUGCCAUAUUUCUAUCUUUUAAAUUUCAAAAAGUUUUUAUAUCAUUAUAAAUUAUCUACUUUUUAUUUCAAUAAUAAUUACAUGCAUUAUCUUUUUUAAAAUUUUAUGAAAUGACUCUACUUUCAUGGUCCUCAAUUGUAUUUCUUUAAAAUUCAUUUUGGUUUCAACAAUCUUUCUACCUAUCUCUUAUAGUUGAACAUGAGCUCUCAUAAUUCUAUCAUUGUCUAUUUUUACUAAUGAUUUAUUUAUCAAUAUAUCCAAUAUAAAUUCCACUUCUUCUUCUAAUAUCUUUUUCUUGUUGUUAGUCCAUAUUUUCAAUGUCUUUUCUUUCAACAUGCAAUCAAGAUACACAUCAUUACAAAAGAAAUAACAUGUGUCUAAGAACUUAUUCAUUUCUUCAACUUUCAAGUUGUCAAAACUUAUUUUUAAUGUAUUCCAAAUCUUAUAGUCACUAUUUUUUCCAUCUCCAUCCAACUCACUUCUUCUUUUU